rnacentral:lncRNA from 1 species
AGCCGGCUCAACUGUUGUGGUUGGAUUCUGGGCUCGAUGGUCUGGUCCCUCCCUCCCGAUCCUCCCGAUAUUUGAUGAAGUGGCCCAGGAAUAUUCUGGUAGGCUGAACUGUUACAAACUCGAAGUUGAUGAGAACCCAUCAACUGCUACGCGUUAUCCAGCUCGAACUCUCCCCACUUUCAUUAUUUUCAAGAAUGGUGAGAGGAAAGAUACAGUUAUUGGAGCUGUGCCCAAGACAACAUUGACCUCAACCAUAGAAAAAUAUCUGUGAGCAAAUGAAAGUAAAGCUAUUUUUGUCGUUAGUUUCCUCUCAUCUAAGCCAAAUAUCAGGUUGGGAUUAUUUGUUUCUUAAAUAACCAUUUAUGGUCCUGAAUAUUUAUGGAUGCAAACCAUAUUUUCUGAUUUCUUUAGAUAAUUAUAGUUAACAAUGUGUUGCGUAAUUUGCCAUCUAUUAUAGCACAAUUUAAAUCUAUUUACAUCUUGCCUCCUGUUUCUUUAGUUCUUCCGUUCACUUAAGUGGCUGAAAAUUGUGUGGUCACGUGGGGCUAUGAAACAAAUUCUUAUUAAAAUGGGACAAAUGUAGUUGAAAAGUAAAAUCUUAUUAAAAUUGUUAAUUGAAGAUUAAUUAAUGAAUAUUUCAUGUCUAUAUCAUGAUUUAAAAAAUGUCGUGUGAUAAUGCUCACGCUCUAUGGAUGUGUCUGUCCGUGUGACUAACUAAAAAUUGUUUCUCUGAUUGAUGGAUGUAUUCACGAGUAAAACCUUUGUGUUGCAUAAUUUCCAAAGCUCGACUUAAUCCAUGGUGAAGGGAAGUUCAAUAGUAACAUCCACAUACUUUUACUUCUUCUCAGAAAGCAAUACCAUAAUUAAUGGUAGUUCCUCUGUCUACGUUGUGACUGGAAGAAAAUUGUAUUUUCUCCUGAAAUCUAUCUCAUUCACGGGAUAACUGGAUGUGCCAUGAGAUACCAAUUGUUGCUUGGAGUGAGUGGUUAAACAUUCUUGUCUCUCACCAUGGUUGUGGUUAAACAUUCGAAGUCACGAUAUUUAGGAGCACAUAACCCUUUUGUUGGUCGAUUGAAUGCGAACAGGAAUUAAUGAAAUCCAUGGAUUUAGGUUAGAUACGAAGAAUGCGGCACGAGGGUAUGUUGCGCUUGUGAGUGCUUUAAGGUGUUUUUUUAUAGUUCUUCACGGAUGAAUUCUUCAUAGAUUAUUUGAAUAUUUUCACCCUUCAAUUCUUUCAAUUCUUACACAUGGUUGAACUAAAUCAAACUUGCAUUAUUCUGAUUAAUUUCUUGGGCGCAUGAUCCAAUAUAGAGGAGGGAAACAUCCCAUAAAUACACACAUGAAUAUAAGUGGGAUAUUGAAUAUAUUUGUAUUGGACAAAGCGCUCACGGCUCAGUGCUCCGUGGUCAGAUCUCGGUGCAUGGCAUAGGUAGGUAGCUUGGUUGUUUAGCCCGUAAAGGGAGUCGUGAGUUUGACCCAGUCAUAUUGGUAAGCCCGUUGUGGCAUAAUUAAAAUAACAUUUUUAUACAUUAGUAUAAGGCUACUAGUAAAGGGUACUUUUGAACCUAGUGGUACGAAUAAUACAUGUGGUGCCUAGGUCAAGUAAAUGUUUCUUUUAACUUGAGUACGUGUGUUCUAGGGCACAUAGUCGUUAAGUUGCAUGUGGGAUAAAAGAUAACGUUGCACCAUGAGUAGGGUGCCCCGUAAGCAGAAUAUUCCCCUGCUGUAGCACAUAAUUUGGUCCCCUGCUACCAGAUGGUUGUUCUGUUAUUAUUUUAUGCUCUCCUUAGAGAUAAGAUUCCUUUUUGUCGUAGCACCUUGAGAGAAGGCGCCCAUAAAAGGGGGCUUGAGACCCCAGGUAAAGGUACAUUGUUUCUGAGACUGAAACUGAAUACUUCUUGAAUUUUAGUAAGUGCUUUACUGAUUUGUUCAUCGGAGUGCCAUCAACAGGUAGGGUCCCCUCUAUUUCAACGAAGGUACAUUCCAAAGCUACAAGAAAUAGGAAAGAUUCCUCAAGAGCCAGACGAAGCUAGAACUUGCCACCAGAGUCAAUAGGUGAGCAAGUCAAUCAACAAUAACAUUUGGUGCACACCGUGGGGCCUGAUAAAAUCUGAUCCCAUCCACAAUUGUGUUUGAGUUUUUUGGCGUAAUGAGGAACACGAGGCAAGGUCCAUUGGGAUUUGAAGGGAACGACGCCCCUACCCUACAACAACUUAUGGAAACCAUGAGGGCUCUCCAAGAAGCCAACAAGCAGUACAAGCUAUAUCAGGAGCAGAUCCAACGAGAGGCCAAAGCUGAGCAGGAAAGGCUAAUGGCAGGAGCAGUGGCGGAGGCAAUGGCAGAAGCUAAAGUUGAACAAGAAAAGCUCAUUGUGGAAGUUUGAGUUGAGCAGGUGCUCAGACAAGGCCAAUGAGAAAUUGCGCAAGAACUUACAACAAAUUGAUCAAAGCUCUAUAGCGGAGCGAGGUUUGAGUGCACAGCUAAGAGAUCGUCCCAAGCCAUUCUCGUACGCGAUCAUGGAUGCUCUCAUACCGACGAACUACAUAACACCUAAGAUUGUUUUCACGGGAGUAGAAGACCCUGAGAGCCAUCUUACGGUGUUCAGCGCCGAGAUGAUUAUUUAGGGAGGAACAUAUGCCAUCCAUUGCAAGAUGCUCAUGGAUACGGUCACAGGUACAACUCUGCAAUGGUUUAGUGGCCUUCCUAACGACCACAUUGUUAGAAAGUAUGGCUUUAAACUAGAGGGGGGGUGAAUGGUUUAAAAAGGGAUUUCGAAAACUUUUAAGCCUUGAAUGAAAUUACUUCGAGAAUAUCUUGAUUAAGAAAUCAGUUUUUCAAAACACAAAGCUAAAAGCAGAGCACCAACAAAACAAUCGGUUGUUUCGUAGAAACAAACGGUUGUUUAUACCAGUUUACAAAUAUAAAAACUGAAUUUAAAGAGUUAAGGGAUAGAGAAAAUGCACACAGAGAUUUAUACUGGUUCACUCUAAACCCAGAGCUACAUCCAGUCUUCUCAGAAACCACUGAGGAACACCACUAAGUAAUCAAACCUAUAUCACUUACAACACAACCAAGAAAGUGACCUUGAUCCCCUCAAGACACACACUUCUCUUGGCCAACACACCAACACUAAGAAUGCUGAUCUUGAUCCCCUCAAGAACACACAACACUUCUCAGCAAACACACAAAGAUUCUUGUUCAACAGAUACAAGGAUUACACUUGUUACAGAAGCAAUUCUGAAAUCAAUACAAGCAGAAAUUUUAUCUCACACUCUUUGAUCAAUCUCAAUCUCUAAGCAAUCUCAACUCUUUGAAAAUCUCAAAAUCUUGUGUUAGUUCUUAAAACUCAAAUCUAUUUUUCUGAAUAUAUUCAAAGAUGUUGUUUUUUAUCAAAUCUUAACAAACUAUUCAUUGCAUUUAAAGAUUGGUCAAAGCAUUAAAAACUGGAGCGUAAACAGUUGGAAAAACAUUUAAUGCUCAGUCAAAGCACAAAACAGUUUUUUGUUAUGGUACCAUAACAAACAAUCGGUUGUUUCCACGAAUCAAUCGGUUGUUUUGGUUUUGACAGCAAGUCAACCAUAAAAAUAGUUUUCAAUCUUUUCUUAAACACCUAAGUAUAAAACAAUCGGUUGUUUCGACAAAACAAUCAGUUGUUUUUCAGUUAGUUUCAAAAACACUUUUCUUUUAAAAAGAUUGAGAAUGCCUAUGCUUUGGAUUCAAUCAAGAGUGGAUUACAUAAACAAUCUACCCCAGAUCCUAUCUAAGACAGCACAACAACAACAAGCACAACCUAGCCUUCAAGAUCCUUCAAAGGGUUUGGAUUCUUCAAAGCUUGAACACCACUUGGUUCAACACACAUCACCACCUCCUUCGACCAGUUUUCUGAGUUGCUCAGGGAACAAUUCAUUGUGAACCAGGCCCAACCACUAGUCUCAUUUGAUCUUUUCAACGUGAAACAGAGGCAAGGUGAUUCUCUGAAAAAUUAUUUGAACAGGUUUGAGGCGUUCACAAUGAAGCUCCAGACCCAUGACGAGCCCUAUAUGGUCAACGCCUUUGGGUAGGGAAUCACUGAUCAGGAAUACGGAAGUAACAUUUGUUGAGAUACGACGUCGAUUUUUCACUCACAUCAGCGCAGAGGAAGCAUUAUCUAUGAAGCACAACAACACACAUCUAGGGCAUACCAAGCCCAAAGAAUGUAGCCAAGCCCGACCUCUGAGGGUCAACGAAGCCAUAACUGAGAAGAGGGCAGGCGCAAGGCGAACACCAUACUCAGAUAGGAAGAACACGCCCAAGGCAAAAACACGUGAAGACCUGGCAUUUCGGUCAAAGUUCUGAAUGACUUAUAAGGAGUUGUUGAGUAUGCCAGGGGUGAUGGAAAAAUUGAAAUUCCCCCAAAAGUUUGACAGAAACUUAGGGCCACGAAAAGAUACCUGGUGCGAAUUCCACAAAGGAUUUGGGCACGACAUGGAGCGAUGUAUAACUCUGGACUAUCAGUUGGCAGGUUUGGUGAAAGACGGUUUCUUGAAGGAAUAUCUGGAGGGAAACCAAGAAGGGACAAAAGAAGAGAUUGUUUCCGGGGACUAAGGGCAUGAGGUACUAGUCCAUGGCGAGUUGAACACCAUCUCGGGAGGGGGAUGCACUACCUCUAAGCGUAAGAAAUACACGAGAAAGUCAAUAGCAAUAGAAGCGAGGAGACCUGGCCAAUCGGCAGAGCCCGACCUCUGCUUUACGAGAUAUGAUUUGGAAGACGUGGUCCCACAUGACGACAAUCCGGUGGUGAUAUCCAUCGUCAUUGUGGGAAGAAGAGAAGACCGAGUUCUCAUCGACCAAGAGAGCUCAGCUGAUGUGAUGUUCUGGAUAACAUUCAAUAAUUUUUUAUUGUCACCUAACCAGUUAAGGCCAUAUGAUGAAUAUUUGUUUGGCUUUGCGGGAGAUCAGGUGGAAGUGCAUGGACAUGUUGAGCUGAGGACAACUUUUUCAGAUUGCACCUCAGCUCGUACGAUCAACAUCAAGUAUAUAAUAGUUAAUGCUGUCUCGACAUACAAAUUGCUUUUGGGAAGGCCUUCUCUGAAUAGGCUAGGUGCGGUGGCCUCAACGGAGCACAUGAAGAUGAAGUUGCCCUCCCUUGAUGGAGUGGUGAUCAUCAUCAAGUUUGAUCAGAAAGCGACAAGGAAGUGCUGUGAGAAUAGCCUGAAGAGAAGGAAGGGAGUGUGCUCCAUCACUGUUCAGGUGCAAGAGUCGGAGGAGAUCAUGCAAAUUGAAGUCACCAACGUGAGGCGACCUGGACCUGCUGGAAAGGUCCAGGAGAAAGAAAUAGGAGGAAAGAAUUUCAAGCUUGAUUCAACUCUUCAUGCAUAGCUUCAACCCACUUCUCAUCCUUGAGAGCUUCAUCAAUUGACUUUGGUUCAAUUUUUGAUACAAAAGUUGUGUUCCUGUAGAAGUUUGAGAUGAAUCUUCGUGUGGAGACACCUUCCUUUAUCUGCCCUAUGAUGUUUUCCACUGAUAGAUCUCUAGGAAUCCUCCAUUCUUUGGGCAACUCACUCUGUUGCAGAAUUUCAAUCGGUUGUUUCUGCGAAUCAACCGAUUGUUUUUCUACACAGAUUUCCAGGUUCUCCAAACUGAUGCUUUGUUCAUCCUCUUCAGCUCUGGUCUUCGGGAUUUGGAUGUUUUUGUGAUCUACCUCUUCAAAGACAACGUGAACUGAUUCUUCUACAGUCAUCAACUUCUUACUGUAGAUUCUAUAUGCAUGACUUGUGAGAGAAUACCCUAUGAAGAUGCCAAAAUUCGCUUUCUCGUCAAACCUCCCUAAGUUUUCCUUUCCAUUGUUGAGAAUGAAACAACUGCAGCCAAAAACUCUGAGACGGUUGAUGUUAGGCUUCCUUCCAUUGAAGAGUUCAUAUGGAGUUUUCUUCAAAAUGGGCCUAAUAAGCACUCUAUUCAUCACAUAACAAGAAGUGCUCACUGCAUCCGCUCAAAAGUACUUAGGAAGAGAUGAUUCACUAAGCAUUGUCCUUGCUAGCUCUUCAAGAGACCUGUUCUUUCUGUCUACCACACCAUUUUGUUGUAGAGUUCUUGGAGCAGAGAAGUUGUGCAGAAUCCCCAUCUUCUCACAGAACUUGCUAAACUUAUCAUUUUGGAAUUCUCCUCCAUGGUCACUUCUAAUAGAGCCUAUGUUGCAGUUCUUUGUAUUUUGCAACCUUCUUACUAGCUUCUUGAAUGCAGAAAAGGCAUCACUCUUUGAUUCCAAGAAAAGAGUCCAAGUGAAACUAGAAAAGUCAUCAACAAUAACAAGAGCAUAAUAAUUUCCACCUAGACUCAGAGUUCUUGAGGGUCCAAAGAGAUCCAUGUGAAGAAGUUCAAGGGGUUUUAAAGAAGAAACAACAUUUUUUAUUUUAAAAGAACUUUUCACUUGUUUCCCCUUUUGGCAUGCUUCACAAAUGUGAUCCCUCUCAAACUUGAGCUUUGGUAGCCCAAUCACAAGAUCCCUUGAAAUUAACUUGUUCAAGUGAUUCAUGUAAAUAUGAGCAAUUCUUCUAUGCCAAAGCCAAGAUUCAUCUUACUUGGAUAGAAGACAUCCAAUUGAACAUGGUGAAGAGAUAUCUAGAAGAUACACAUUAUUGAUUCUCUUACCUACCAACAUUACCAAUUUUGAUAUGAUUCCACUAGCAAAGUAGAGAUGAUUCUUUAACAUUCUAUGGAAUCAACUUGAGUUGGAGAUAGCAUAGGCACUUUUAAUAGAAUUGGAUCAAUGUUCUAUGUUUCAAGAACUCACCAAAACUUGCACCAAACACCAAACUCAUAUGGAAGAUCCAUCUAUUGCCAAUUGAACUGAUUAAAAAGUGUAUUAAGGCAAAUGAACCGAAUAGAAAGCUUUAAAAACAUAAAUGAACCGAACAAAUCCAGCUAGAACAGAAAAGAGCCGAACAUAAAGUGAAAAGGAAACACAAAACCUCAUAGAAAGAAGCUUAAGACAUGUUUAUCGUUUCGUAAAGCAAGGAAGAUGAAGGAGAGAAGAACUUAUGGAGAUGAAGGACUUGGUUUGGUGAUCACGCCACUUGGAUGGUGAAGGCUCCAAGAUAAGUGAGCUACUGUCGCCACUUGAGAGAACCAAAUGCACUCAAGAUAAGACAAGGUGUAGGAGAAGACAAAGUUAUCACAAUUCUCUCUCAAAUUGAGUAGAGUUUCUCUAUUACCAAUUUCAAUUCUCAAUUUUACAAGAGCCCACACCUUUAUUUAUAGUGUGAGGGUGCUGGAAAAUAGGUGGGAAAAUUCAAAUAAAACUCAUUUGAAAUUCCCACCAAAAACAAGUCACAUGAGAGGUGUGACCUUUUUCUACUAUGACACCUCCUAAAAACUACACCUACACCUAUUCUCCUAAGUCACAUGGAUAAUGUGACUUUAUUUUACAUUUUCACACUUCUUUAUUUAAUAUCCACACCUCCUACAACUACACAAGAGUAAUUCAAAUGAUGCUCUUUUAUUUAAUGCUUUGCCUUGCCCCUCAUGGGAUGGACUUGGGCUUUUUGGGCUUUGACCUUCUUGGGCUUGGGCCUCAUCUUUAUUUUAUGUUUUCUUUUAAAUUUGAGAAGACUAGAAGGAAGAACUUCAAAUGUGAAGGCGAAUGUCCUCUUCCUUCAUUAAUAAAAGCCUCCUUUAUUUGAUUCUCAUCAUAUUUGGUGUUGGGUAGAUAUAUUUCACAUGUGUUUAGGGUUUAGGGUUUACCUUCUUGGGCUUGGGCCUCAUCUUUAUUUUAUGUCUUCUUUUAAAUUUGAGAAGACUAGAAGGAAGAACUUCAAAUGUGAAGGCGAAUGUCCUCUUCCUUCAUUAAUAAAAGCCUCCUUUAUUUGAUUCUCAUCAUAUUUGGUGUUUGACUUGAACAUCACUUGAUAUCCCUUGUCACAUAGAUUGCUAAUGCUCAGCAGAUUGUGCUUUAGACCUUCUACAUAGAGCACAUCAUGGAUGACCAAGAUGUCUUUGUCUCCUAUGGAUCCUCUCCCAGGAAUCCUUCCUUUGUUGUUGUCCCCAUAGGUGACAUGCCCUUCUUGCUUAAAGGAGAUGCUCAGGAACUUUGAUUUGUCCCCUGUCAUAUGUUUGGAACAUCCACUGUCCAAGUACCAUUGUUGCUUGCUCUCCUCCAAGAUUUCCUACAAAGAAGAUUUUCAAGUACAAAGAUUUGGUCCGCUUAUGAAUGUGGGUCCAUUUUGUUAUAUUCAUCAAUUGAAUCUUUAUUGCACUUAGGGAUCCACUUCAUAAAGCCCUUAGGAACAACAUAUUUUCUGAUUUUACAGAACCUCACAGAAUGACCUCUUUUCAUGCAAUAGAAGCAUGUAACAAUCGGUUGUUUCGAUGGUCCAAUCGGUUGUUUUUUUGGCAUUUUCGAAAAUGAUUUUGAAAAUCUAUCUUGUUUGUUUUGUGGGUUAAAGCCCAAUCCAGCUUUUCCAAAAACACAGUUUUGAGAUGCCAAGACAUUCUCAAAGUUGGAUUGACUUUUAGAAAGCUUAUCCACAGUUUUAACAAGAUAGUGGACCUUAUUUUCAAGAUUUUCGCAAUUUUCACAAACAAGAGUAUUACACUUGCAAGAGGAGUUUUUGUAAAUGAUUUCAAGGUUUUCAAAAUCUGUUUUUGAAUUUUCUAAUUCCUCUUCCAGUGAUUUACUCUAUUUUCAAGCCAGUUAUUCUUUUCCUUUAACUGAUUGUUCAAGAGGGCCAAUCAGUUGGCUUCUUCAUGUGUUUCUUGAAAGGCUUGAAGUAAUUGACCAUAAUUUUCAGAGUUUGAGGAGUUAGAUGAACUUACACUACUUGAGUCAUCCUCCUUUUUUGCCAUGAAGCAGAGGUUGAGACUUUUCUUGUUUUGCCUUCUUUUCCUUCUUGCUUGACUCUUUGACCUUGCCUCCUUUGGUUCAUUGUUUCCAUGAGCAUCCUUGAGUGUGUCCCACAUCUCUUUAGCAGUUUUGCAUUUUGAUAUCUUGAAAAACUCAUUAGUAUCUAGUGCAGAAGCUAUUAUGUUUUGACCAGUAUAAUCAAGCUUGGCCAUUUUACAUUCAUCAUUGGUCCAUUGAGACCAAGGUUUUGCAAUGAAAGAACCAUUCUUUUUAAACUUUAGAAUGUAAGGACCAUUCUGAAUUGAGUCCCAAAUUCCUUGAUCAAUAGAUUCCACAAAGAUUUUCAUUAUGGCUUCCCAGUACUUGUAAUUCAAUCCACAGAAUAAAGGAGGUUUGUAGAUUGAAGCACCUUCCUCAAAAGAUUGUUUUCCAGCAAUAGAAAAAAGAUUUUUGGAUCAACUUGAAUAACUUUCAAGAACCAAGCUCUGAUACCAAUUGUUAGAAAGUAUGGCUUUAAACUAGUGAAUGGUUUAAAGAGGGAUUUCGAAAACUUUUAAGCCUUGAAUGAAAUUACUUCGAGAAUAUCUUGAUUAAGAAAUCAGCUUUUCAAAAUACAAAGCUAAAAGCACAGCACCAACAAAACAAUCGGUUGUUUCGCAGAAACAAUCGGUUGUUUAUACCAGUCUACAAAUAUAAAAACUGAAUUUAAAGAGUUAAGGGAUAGAGAAAAUGCACACAGAGAUUUAUACUGCUUCACUCUAAACCCAGAGCUACAUCCAAUCUUCUCAGAAACCACUCAGGAACACCACUAAGUAAUCAAACUUAUAUCACUUACAACACAACCAAGAAAGUGACCUUGAUCCCCUCAAGACACACACUUCUCUUGGCCAACACACCAACACUAAGAAUGCUGAUCUUGAUCCCCUCAAGAACACACAACACUUCUUAGCAAACACAUAAAGAUUCUAGUGCAACAGAUACACGGAUUACACUUGUUACAGAAGCAAUUCUGAAAUCAAUACAAGCAGAAAUUUUAUCUCACACUCUUUGAUCAAUCUCAAUCUCUAAGCAAUCUCAACUCUUUGAAAAUCUCAAAAUCUUGUGUUAGUUCUUAAAACUCAAAUCUGUUUUUCUGAAUAUAUUCAAAGAUGUUGUUUGCUAUCAAAUCUUAACAAAUUAUUCAUUGCAUUUAAAUAUUGGUCAAAGCAUUAAAAACUGGAGCGUAAACAGUUGGGAAAACAUUUAAUGCUCAGUCAAAGCACAAAAUAGUUUUCUGUUAUGGUACCAAAACAAAAAAUCGGUUGUUUCCACGAAUCAAUUGAUUGUUUUGGUUUUGACGGCAAGUCAACCAUAAAAACAGUUUUCAAUCUUUUCUAAAAACACCUAAGUAUAAAACAAUUGGUUGUUUCGACCAAACAAUCGGUUGUUUUUCACUUAGUUUGAAAAACACUUUUCUUUUAAAAAGAUUGAGAAUGCCUGUGCUUUUGAUUCAAUCAAGAGUGGAUUACAUAAACAAUCUAUCCCAUAUCCUAUUUAAGACAGCACAGCAACAACAAGCACAGCCUAGCCUUCAACAUCCUUCAAAGGGUUUGGAUUCUUCAAAGCUUGAACACCACUUGGUUCAACACACAUCACCUCCUUCGACUAGUUUUCUGAGUUGCUCAGGGAACAAUUCAUUGUGAACCAGGCCCAACCACUAGUCUCAUUUGAUCUUUUCAACGUGAAACAGAGGCAAGGUGAGUCUCUGAAAAAUUAUUUGAACAGGUUUGAGGCGUUCGAAAUGAAGCUCCAGACCCAUGACGAGCCCUAUAUGGUCAACGCCUUUGGGUAGGGAGUCAUGGAAAGACCAUUAAAGGACUCACUGAUCAGGAAUACGGCAGUAACAUUUGUUAAGAUACGACGUCGAUUUGUGACUCACAUCAGUGCAGAGGAAGCAUUAUCUAUGAAGCACAACAACACACAUCUAGGGCAUACCAAGCCCAAAGAAUGUAGCCAAGCCCGACCUCUGAGGGUCAACGAAGCCACAACUGAGAAGAGGGCAGACGCAAGGCGAACACCAUACUCAGAUAGGAAGAACACGCACAAGGCAAAAGCACGUGAAGACCUGGCAUUUCGGCCAAAGUUCUGAAUGACUUAUAAGGAGUUGUUGAGUAUGCCAGGGGUGAUGGAAAAAUUGAAAUUCCCCCAAAAGUUUGACAGAAACUUAGGGCCACGAAAAGAUACCUGGUGCGAAUUCCACAAAGGAUUUGGGCACGACAUGGAGCGAUGUAUAACUCUGGACUAUCAGUUGGCAGGUUUGGUGAAAGACGGUUUCUUGAAGGAAUAUCUGGAGGGAAACCAAGAAGGGACAAAAGAAGAGAUUGUUUCCGGGGACUAAGGGCAUGAGGUACUAGUCCAUGGCGAGUUGAACACCAUCUCGGGAGGGGGAUGCACUACCUCUAAGCGUAAGAAAUACACGAGAAAGUCAAUAACAAUAGAAGCGAGGAGACCUGGCCAAUCGGCAGAGCCCGACCUCUGCUUUACGAGAUAUGAUUUGGAAGACGUGGUCCCACAUGACGACAAUCCGGUGGUGAUAUCCAUCGUCAUUGUGGGAAGAAGAGAAGACCGAGUUCUCAUCGACCAAGAGAGCUCAGCUGAUGUGAUGUUCUGGAUAACAUUCAAUAAUUUUCGAUUGUCACCUAACCAAUUAAGGCCAUAUGAUGAAUAUUUGUUUGGCUUUGCGGGAGAUCAGGUGGAAGUGCAUGGACAUGUUGAGCUGAGGACAACUUUUUCAGAUUGCACCUCAGCUCGUACGAUCAACAUCAAGUAUAUAGUAGUUAACGCUGUCUCGACAUACAAAUUGCUUUUGGGAAGGCCUUCUCUGAAUAGGCUAGGUGCGGUGGCCUCAACGGAGCACAUGAAGAUGAAGUUGCCCUCCCUUGAUGGAGGGGUGAUCAUCAUCAAGUUUGAUCAGAAAGGGACAAGGAAGUUCUUUGAGAAUAGCCUGAAGAGAAUGAGGGGAGUGUGCUCUAUUACUGUUCAGGCACAAGAGCCAGAGGAGAUCAUGCAAACUGAAGUCACCAACGAGAGGCGACCUGGACCUACUGGUAAGGUCCAGGAGAAAGAAAUAGGAGGAAAGAAGUUCAAGCUCGGAACAUCGAUAUGUCAGGAAUUGUAAGAUAAGAUAGCUAAGGUGUUGAGCAAGAGUGAUCAAGAGCUUUGAAGAAUUCAAAUUGUGCUUUGAAGAAUCCAAAUCCUAUGUGCUUGAUGCAAGGCUGUGUUGCUGCUGUGUUUUGGGAGGGAUCUGGGUAGUUUUACACUCCUUUGUUGAAUCUAAAGCUAACGUGUUUUAAAUCCUUUUUGAAAUAAUGUGUUUUUCUAACUAAGUGAAAAACAACCUGUUGUUUUGUCGAAUCAACCGGUUGUUUUACUCUCAGGAGUUUUUGAAAAGGUUGAAAACUAUUUAAGUUUGGUUGACUUAACUGCCAAACCAAACAAUCGGUUGUUUCGUGGUUUCAACCGAUUGUUUGUUUGAAAAUCCUAACAAAAUUUUGUUUUGGUGGUUGAAUUAAAUGAUUUCCAAUUGAAUACGCUCCUUCAUUAAAUGCUUUGACCAAUCUUUGGAAAUUAUAAAUAGUUUUUUUAUGUUUUCAAACAAGUGAGAGAAACAAAUUUGAGUUUUUCAGUUGUGAAAGAGUUUAUUCAAGAUUUGAACAUUCACAUCAAAGUUUUAGGUUUUCUAAGAGAGUGGAAUAGGAUUGCAUUUGUAUUGAUUUCAGAUUGCUCUGUAAACAAGUGUAAUAUCUUCUCAACCUUCUGUAUUUCUAGUGUUGUGUUGCCAAGGAGUGUUGUGUGCUCUUGAGGUUGUCAAGAUCAAUACUCUUGGUGUGUGAUUUGCCAAAGUGAGUGUGUUUCUUGAAGGGUUAAAGGUCACUGCUUUGGUGGAUUGUGUUUUGUAAUCUGGUUUGAUUACUUAGUGGAUUACCCAGUGGUUUUCUGGGGACUGGAUGUAGCUCAUGGUUUAAGAGUGAACCAGUAUAAACUGUUGGUGUAUCUUUCUCUUACCCUUAAACUCAUUUAAAUUCAGUUUUUAGUUUUACUGGUAUAAACAACCGAUUGUUUCGCAAAAACAACUGAUUAUUUUUAUACUGCUUUGCUGUUUUAUUACUGUUGUUCUUGGCUAACCUGAUUUUUGUUUUGGAUUCAUACAAAGAAGUUUGUUAAAACUAAAAAGAUUUCAAAAACCUCUCUUAAACAAUUCACUCGCCUCUCGUUUAAGGUCAUAUCUUGCUAAUUCAUGAUGUCUUUCAAACUCUUUCAAAUGGAUGUGAAGAGUGCUUUUCUCAAUGGUUUUAUCAAUGAAGAAGUGUAUGUUGGCAACCACCGAGUUUUGAGGAUCAUCAACAUCCCAAUCACGUUUUUAAGUUGAAAAAGGCUUGGUAUGGGCUUAAACUGUUAGAAUGGUUGGCUUUAAACUAGAGGGGGGUGAAUUGUUUAAAGAGGGUUUUCGCAAACUUUUGAGACAAGAAUGAAAUUCUCUGAAGAAAACAAUUGAUAAAGAAUUCAGUUUGCCAAAACAGCAAUAAAAAACAGCAGUACCAGAAAAGCAAUCGGUUGUUUCACAAAAACAAUCGGUUGUUUAUACCAGCAAACAACAAACAAAAUUGAAUUUAAAGAGAUUAAGGAUAGAGAGAUUGCACACAGAUGUUUAUACUGGUUCACUCCAAACCCAGAGCUACAUCCAGUCUUAUCAGAAAACCACUGAAGAAAUCCACUAAGCAACCACACCUUGAUCACUUACACCACAACCAAGAGAGUGACCUUAAUCACCUCAAGACACACACUCUUCUUGGCCAACACACCAACACUAAGAUUGUUGAUCUUGAUCCCCUCAAGAACACACAGCCAAUCUCAGCAAACACAAAUGAAACUAGUUCAGCAGAGUACAAGGAUUACACUUGUUACAAAAGAUAAUCUGAAAUCAAUACAAGCAGAAUCCUAUUCCACACACUUUGAUCAAAUCACAAACUCUAAGCAAUCUCAGCUCUUUGAAAAACUCAAAAACUCUAUUCAAAAUCUUGUUACAGAAAUCUGUUUUUCUGAAUUUAUUCAAAGAUGUUGUUUGUUAUCAAAUCUUAACAAACUCUUUAAUUGCAUUUAAUGAUUGGUCAAAGCAUUUAAAGACUGGAGUGUAAGCAGUUAAAUCAUUUAAAGCUCAGUCAAAGAUAAAACAGUUUUUCUGUUAUGGUACCAAAACAAAUAAUCAGUUGUUUCCUCGAAUCAAUCGGUUGUUUUGGUUUUAACAGCUCAACCAUUUGAAAAACAGUUUUCAAUCUUUUCUAUAAACAAUCGGUUGUUUCCACAAAACAAUCGGUUGUUUUUAACUUAAUUUGAAAAGCAUUUUUUUUUCAAACAGAUUGAGAAUGCCUAUGCUUUAGAUUCAAUCAAGUGUGGAUUACAACACUCAAACUACCCCAGAUCCUAACUAAAACAGCACAGCAACAACAAGCUCACCCAAGGCUUCAACAUCCUUCAAAGGGUUUGGAUUCUUCAAAGCUUGAACACCACUUGGUUCAACAUAAACAAGCUCCAAGGCAGUGGUAUGAGAGGCUUAAUAACUUCCUUUUAUCCCAUGGCUAUGAAAGAGGAAUGAUUGACAAAAAAAAUUUCAUCAAGAAAGCAAAUUCUGAAAUUAUUUUGGUCCAAAUCUAUGUUGAUGACAUCAUUUUUUGUGCUACCAAAGAUAGUUUGUGUGAGGAGUUUGUUGUUGCAAUGCAAGAUGAGUUUGAAAUGUCCAUGAUGGGAAAACUUUUCUUCUUUCUUGGGCUGCAUGUUAAACAAUCAAAGGAUGGUAUUUUCUUAUGUCAAUCAAAGUAUUGCAAAGAAAUCCUCAAGAAAUUUGAGAUGGAGAGUUGCAAGGAAGCUAGCACACCUAUGCCUUCAAGCUGUUAUAUGGAUGCAGAUGCUGUUGGAAAAAGGGGUAGAUUAAACAAAAUAUAGAGGCUUAAUUGGUUCUUUACUCUAUCUCACAACAAGUAGACCGGAUAUCAUGUUUGUCGUAUGUCUUUGUGCAAGAUAUCAAGCAAAGCCAAAGGAAUCUCACUUCAAGGCUGCCAAAAGGAUUCUCAAAUAUCUCAAAGGAACUACUAAUGUUGGUCUAUGGUAUCCUUCUUACUCACCUAUACAUUUAAUUGGAUAUUUAGAUUCUGACUUUGCAGAGUGUAAGCUGGACCAAAAAAGCACAAGUGGCACUUGUCAUCUUCUUGGAUCAAGUCUCAUUUCUUGCCAUAGUAAGAAACAAGCUUGUGUAGCUCUUUCCACUACAGAAGCUAAAUACAUUGCUGCUGGGAGCUGUUGUUCACAAAUUCUUUGGCUUAAACAGCUGCUUGCAGAUUUUAGAUUGAAGAUUAGUAAGGUUCCUUUGCUUUGUGACAACACAAGUGCUAUAAAUCUCACCAAAAAUCAGAUUUAGCACUCAAGAACAAAGCACAUUGAGAUUCUUCAUCACUUCAUAAGAGAUCAUGUGAACAAUGGAGAUUGUGAGAUGAAGUUCAUUGAAACAAAACUACAGCUUGCUGAUAUAUUCACAAAACCUUUGGCAAAAGACAGGUUUUUCUUUUUAAGAAAUGAGUUAGGCAUUCUUGACUCUCAAAAUCUCUCUUAAACUGCUUUCUAUGCAUAAAGUCUAUUUGUGAAGACAAAUAGGGGGAGAAUUGGUUUCUCUGUUGCUCUACAAACUGUUUUAAACUAUUAAAGCUCUUUCAUUUCUGUUUUUAUGCUUCUGCUGAUAGAAACAACCGAUUGAAUCGAGGAAACAACCGGUUGUUUAUCUGAUAUAUAUUGGUUUUUGGCUGGUUUUUCUGCUAUAAGGUCUAUGCAGAAAACCAAUUAAUGUGCUAUUCUAACCUGCUGUUAAAGAUGCUCUAGUUUGCAUAAGUUUUGCUUUGCAGGUGCUGUUUCAGAUUCAAACAAAGACCAACACAAGCAACCAGGGAUUUGUCUUCAUCAAAUAGGGGGAGAUUGUUGAUCAAGAGUGAUCAAGUGCUUUGAAGAAUUCAAGUUGUGCUUUGAAGAAUCCAAAUCCUAUGUGAUGUUUUGGAAAAAGACCUCUUAAAUGGUGACAACCAUUAGGAGGUAUGAACAAAUCUUCCCUAACAUUUUUUAACCAAGAUGGUGGUGAAAUAGGAACCUUGGGUAAUGAAAAAGAUAAGGAAGGAAAACACCUUGGAGGUGAAAGGAUAAGACCCAUGUCAACUUGGCCUUCUUUGUCUUUUUCUUGUUUACNNNNNNNNNNNNNNNNNNNNNNNNNNNNNNNNNNNNNNNNNNNNNNNNNNNNNNNNNNNNNNNNNNNNNNNNNNNNNNNNNNNNNNNNNNNNNNNNNNNNCAGUAAGUAAAUCAAUUGCAAUAAGGAAAAAACAGUAAGCACUUUUUUCAGAAACAGAGGAAUCCUAAUAGGACUAAAAAACAGGAUUAUGAACUAGCAAAGACAUAAUAGAAAAUGAUGUAUUGGAACUUGUAUAGGUCUAGAAUACAAGUAUGAACUCAAUUCUAAAAAGAAAAUGCACAAAGGAUCAAUAUCAAUUCAGAAAAUUAUAGACACUAAAGCAAGAAACAAUCAAAACAAGAAAAGUACUACUAGAAGUAAUGACAAUUAUGGAAUAACAUGACUAAGACAAAACUUGACAUGAUUACAAAAUUAAAAGACACAUCACAAAUUUUAACAACAAGUGAAAGGAAGCUUANNNNNNNNNNNNNNNNNNNNNNNNNNNNNNNNNNNNNNNNNNNNNNNNNNNNNNNNNNNNNNNNNNNNNNNNNNNNNNNNNNNNNNNNNNNNNNNNNNNNGGAUAAUGCCAUUCCAAAAGAGCAACCAUACUCAUAAGAAUUAUGAGUGCCAUAAACCUUUUCACAAGCACUUGGUGUAAAAGAAAAACAGCAAGAAUACUCAAGUAAAAUUCUAAAACAGAAACUUAAAUUGCAAGAAAUUAAAAGAGCUCUUGAAAUUAAAGUGCACACAACUCAACAAUUAAACAAGAAGAACCUAAGACUCAUGAUACCACAUGAUGUGAUUCCAAUAGCCACAUAGAGAAAGGUUCUUGACCUUCUAAGGAAUCAACUUGAGUUGGACAAUAGUUAGGCACUUUUUCUUAGAAUUGGAUCAUUGUUCUAAGUCAAGAACUCUCCAAAAACUAGCACCAAUUCCAAACUCAUAUGGAAGUUCCAAUUAUAGUCAAAUUGAACCGAACAAAAUGGAACAAAAGAUAAGCAAACUGAAAUAGAAGUGCUGGAAAUUAAAAUGCACCGAACCAAAACAGAAAAGAAUAAGAACAGCUGCUGGAAAAUGAAAGAUAACCAAACCAAAACUCAAGAACACAAGCUAAACAUGAACAAUUGAAAGAGUAGGAAGGAAGGAGAAGAGAAAAGCUUAUGGAGAUGGAAGAGAAGGUGAGUGAUCACGCCACUAGAAGGAUGGUUGCUCCUAGAUGAGUGUGCUGCCGCCACUUGAGGACACCAUGGAUCCUUCAAGAUAAGACUAGAGAAGAAGGCUCAAAAGCUCUCCAAUGCCCACUCAAAAAUUGAGUAUAGUUUCUUUCUCUAAUUUCAAUUCUCAAUUGUACAAGCUAAGCACCUUUAUUUAUAGCCUAGAGGUGCUGAAAAAUAGGUGGGAAAUUUCAAAUAAAACUCAUUUGAAAUUCCCACAAAAAACAAGUCACAUGGGAGGUGUGACCUUUUUCUACUAUGACACCUCCUAAAAACUACACCUACGCCACUCUCCUAAGUCACAUGGACAAUGUGACUUUAUUUUACAUUUUCACACACCUUUAUUUAAUAACCACACCUCCUAAAACUAUACAAGAGUAUUUCAAAGCUUGGCCUUGCCCCUCAUGGGAUGGACUUGGGCUCUUUGGGCUUUGGCCUUCUUGGGCUUGGGUUUGGGCUUUGGGAUUGGGCCUCAUCUUUAUUUUAUGUCUUCUUUUAAUUUUGAGAAGACUAGAAUGAAGAACUUCAAAUGUGAGGGUGGAUGUCCUCUUCCUCCAUUAAUAAAAGCCUCCUUUAUUUGAUUCUCAUCAACUCCUUUGUUGAAUCUAAAGCUAACGUGUUUUAAAUCCUUUUUGAAAUAAAGUGUUUUUCUAACUAAGUGAAAAACAACCUGUUGUUUUAUCGAAUAAACCGGCUGUUUUACUAUUAAAAGUUUUUGAAAAGGUUGAAAACUAUUUAAGUUUGGUUGACUUAACUGCCAAACCAAACAAUCGGUUGUUUCGUGGUUUCAACCGAUUGUUUGUUUGAAAAUCCUAAGAGAAUUUUGUUUUGGUGGUUGAAUGUGCUUUAAAUGAUUUCCAACUGAAUACGCUCCUUCAUUAAAUGCUUUGACCAAUCUUUGGAAAAUAUAAAUUGUUUGUUUAUGUUUUCAAACAAGUGAGAGAAACAAAUUUGAGUUUUUCAGUUGUGAAAGAGUUUAUUCAAGAUUUGAACAUUCACAUCAAAUUUUUAGGUUUUCUAACAGAGUGGAAUAGGAUUGCAUUUGUAUUGAUUUCAGAUUGCUCUAUAAACAAGUAUAAUCUCUUCUCAACCUUCUGUAUUUCUGGUGUUGUGUUGCCAAGGAGUGUUGUGUGCUCUUGAGGUUGUCAAGAUCAAUAUUCUUGGUGUGUGAUUUGCUAAAGUGAGUGUGUUUCUUGAAGGGUUCAAGGUCACUGCUUUGGUGGAUUGUGUGUUGUAAUCUGGUUUGAUUACUUAGUGGAUUACCCAGUGGUUUUCUGGGGACUGGAUGUAGCUCUUGGUUUAAGAGUGAACCAGUAUAAACUGUUGGUGUAUCUUUCUCUUACCCUUAAACUCAUUUAAAUUCAGUUUUUAGUUUUACUGGUAUAAACAACCGAUUGUUUCGCAAAAUCAACUGAUUGUUUUUCUACUGCUUUGCUGUUUUAUUACUCUUGUUCUUGGCUAACCUGAUUUUUGUUUUGGAUUCAUACAAAGAAGUUUGUUAAAACUUAAAAAGAUUUCGAAAACCUCUCUUAAACAAUUCACUCCCCUCUCGUUUAAGGUCAUAUCUUGCUAAUUCAUGAUGUCUUUCAAACUCUUUCAAAUGGAUGUGAAGAGUGUUUUUCUCAAUGGUUUUAUCAAUGAAGAAGUGUAUGUUGAGCAACCACCGGGUUUUGAGGAUCAUCAACAUCCCAAUCACGUUUUUAAGUUGAAAAAGGCUUUGUAUGGGCUUAAACAAGCUCCAAGGCAGUGUAUGAGAGGCUUAAUAACUUCCUUUUAUCUCAUGGCUAUGAAAGAGGAAUGAUUGUUUUUCUGCUGCUUUGCUGUUUUAUUGCUUUUGUUCUUGGGUAACUUGAUUUUUGUUCUGGAUUCAUACAAAAAAGUUUGUUAAAACUUAAAAAGAUUUCAAAAACCUCUCUUAAACAAUUCACCCGCCCCUCUCGUUUAAGGCCAUAUAUUGUAACACAGGGUAAUAUCGAAGCACGUGAACGCUUUUCCUUGGUUAUCUGCAGACAUGCCUGAGAUAGAUCCAGACUUCUUGUGCAAUAGGCUUACUAUGGACAAGAAGGUUAGACCUGUAGUACAAAGAAGAAGGAAGUUUAAUGAGGAAAGGCGCCUAAUCAUCAGGGAAGAGACACAAAAGCUUCUGAAAUUUCACCACAUAGAGGAGAUUCAAUAUCCCGGGUGGUUGGCAAACGUAGUGUUGGUACAAAAGGCUAAUGGGAAGUGGAGGAUGUCCGUUGACUUUAGUUAUCUGAAUAAGGUUUGUCCCAAGGACUCUUAUCCACUGCCCAACAUACUCCUUGGUGACAGUGCCUCAGGUCGUCGACUGCUAAGUUUCCUAGAUGCAUUCUCGUGGUAUAACCAGAUCCGUAUGCACCCCCGAGAUGAGAGUAAGACCGCCUUCAUAACCGAACUCUUCAACUAUUGCUACAAGGUCAUGCCCUUUGGCCUCAAGAAUGCUUGUGCCACCUGUCAAAGGUUGAUGGAUAGAAUCCUCGCCCCAAUGAUUUGGUGGAAUGUAUAGGCGUAUGUAGACGACAUGGUCGUCACUUUAGAAGAGAAGGAUUAGCACAUUGUUGAUUUGGAAGAGUUGUUCAACACGAUAGUUCAAUACAACUUGAAGUUAAACCCAGAAAAAAAUGUGUGUUUGGGGUGGAGGUAGGAAAGUUCCUCGGGUUUUUUCUUACUAAACGGGGUAUAGAAGCGAACCGAAAUAAGUGCGCAACAAUCAUAGGAAUGAGGAGCCCGACCAAUGUAAAGGAGGUUCAACAACUGACUAGAUGCAUGACUGCUUUGUUUAGAUUCUUGUCAGCUGGUGGAGAUAAUGGGUAUUUUUAUUUCCAAUGUUUGAAGAAGAAUAAUUGUUUUGUAUGGAGUCGCGAGUGUGAAUAGGCCUUCAUCAGGUUGAAGGAGUAUCUAGCCAGCCCACCUGUCCUCUGUAAGCCAUUGUCAGGUACUGCCAUUCAUCUUUACUUUGUAGUCACUGAUCGGGCAAUCAGCUCGGUCAUUGUGUAAGAAUAAGACCGGGUCCAGAGGCUUGUUUACUUCGCGAGCAAGGUGUUGCAAGGGCCAAAGACGCGGUAUCAGGCUAUUGAAAAGGUUGCUUUGGCAGUGGUAUUCGCAGCCCCACGACUCCGCCAUUAUUUCCAAAGUUUCACUGUAAUAGUGAUGACUAAUCUGCCCAUCUGCAAGGUUUUUCAGAAGCCCACCAUAGCAGGUCGAAUGGUUCAUUGGACAAUUGAGUUGUCUGAGUUUGACGUGUAGUAUGAACCCCGUGGGCCCAUAAAGGGUCAGGUAUAUGCUGAUUUUGUGGUAGAACUAUCAUCUGAGGCUACCCAGCCAGAUGGUAAUGACUUCCAGUGGGUCCUUUCAGUGGAUGGAUCUUCUAACCAACAAGGGAGCAGUGAUGGGGUCAUCCUAGAAGGACCAAAUGGGUUGUUGAUCAAGCAGGCCUUGAGGUUUGCCUUCAAAGCCAACAACAAUAAGGAUGAAUAUGAAGCCUUGAUAGUUGGGACGUUGUUUGCUAAGGAGUUGGGUGCUCGAAACUUGUUGGUGAAGAGUGACUCGUUGUUGGUUAUUGGGCAAGUCACAGGUGAGUACCAAGAUAAAGACCCACAGUUGGCAUCGUACCUCAAGUAUGUUGUGUUUCUGAAAAUAGCUUUCUCCACGUUUGAGCUGGUGCAUGUCCCAAGAGAACAUAAUUCCCGAGCUGAUUUGCUAUCCAAACUGGCGAGCUCGGGGAAGGGAGGUCGACAAAGGUCAGUCAUUCAGGAAACCUUGAAGUCGCCUACGACCAUUGCGGAGGGGAUGGCAGAGGUCAACCAUGUAGAAGCCUUGGGGGUGAGCUCGGAACAAGGGAGGAGGCACCGAUCGUUGACACAGGAGACAUUGAAAGUGCCAAGGAUAAGCACCUAUGGCUUAUUGGGAGAUGGGUCAUCGGAGGUUUUGCAGGUCGACGCGAUAGAGACCUGGAUGACACCAUAUUAGUGCUACCUAGCUAAUGGUUUGCUCCCGGCAGAGCCUACAGCGACGAAGGCGAUUAAGAGGUGAUCCUGACUGUUGACCAGAACGCUGGAGCCUUGCCUCGUCAAAUCUGGAUCGACUUUGCACCGUGAUAGCUUAUGUCCUUCGCCUUGAUUCACCUCAAGAACCUGCAAAAGACAGAACGGCGCCGCUGCGGCCGAUCACGCUCCGACGCCCAAGUCAGCGACUGAACCACCAAAAUACUAAGAGAAAACUAAGAACUUCAGGAACCAUGCAAUAUUCUCUCUCAGUGUACUCCAGUUCUCGCGAGCGUAAAAGAAGUAUUCUAAAAUGCGCGUACCUCAGAAGUUCGUUAGGAUUCCUUAUAUACCUGUGCAUUUUCUCUCUCUUGACAGUUACACAUCUGGACAUGUGGCUCGUAUCCAGCUGUACACGUGUCACCAUCUGGAGCAUCCUUGACUUGAGCGUCGCCUCUUACUCUUCAGGCUUUUCGACUAAGUUACUUAUGCAGGAAGCAAUUCAGCGUAUAACUGCCUUGGAGCGCGAUAUCUUCUGCGUGGCGAGUACGGGUGUCUUCAUAUACACCUUCCCUGUGGUCUCGCCGGCCGCCAUUAUAUUCUACUUUACUUACUUCACUGUGCAUGCUCGGGUAAGCUGUUCCUCGACCUUAACCUCUGGCCAGCUAGGGAAUGACCAUCUGACGACUUCAUCCUUUGCUUCGAAAGCCUGGAACAAGCUUUCCUGAUCCUUCGGCGAUGUCAUCCUCUCGGCGAUCUUCGAUCGUCUUGUCGCCUAGGUUCGCACCCGGUGACUACAACACAAACUUGGUGACCGCCGUUUUAGGCAUGCUAGAGAUCGGGCACGCCAACUUAACGACUGGCGAUCACACGAGCCUCCCGACGUCCUUCCCUUCUACCAGCCAGGUGUCCCGUUCAACACGCCUAUACUAUUGUUUGCGGCCACGUCAUCAAUUCCGACUACCUGGGCGGUACACAAGCCCCCCAGUCUUAAGCGAAGACUUGUCCAGCGAAAAGACUAAGAGGUCACGUCACUGCCGAUCUACGUGGCGCUGGUGCGGAAUUCCAAACGUUUGUACCCUCUGCUUUUCUGACGCUCCACCAAACCCCUUUCGCAAUCGCCCGACACGUGGUUUCAUCAACGAUCAUCUUCAGUUGUCGUUUGCGCUUCCAAAAACGUUUGAAAAACCCUUAAACCCCUUCAUUUCUACUGUUUCAUCAUCUCUCUGCAUUCUCGAAACGCUCUGAGUUUUCUCUGCAAACCCACAACGCUUCUCAGCUCCCUCAAUCUCCAAUUCCCUUCAACGCUCAUCUGAUCAUCGAAAGGUACCUCUUUUACUUCUUCUGUUGAUACAUGCUGCAUUUUAACCGAUUCGCAUCAUCCAUUAUCAAUUUACUACCCCAUGUUGAGUUUGCAUAUAACCGAGUAGUAAAUUCUACCACCUCUCAUUCUCCUUUUGAGGUAGUCUAUGGGUUUAAUCCCCUAACACCUCUUGAUCUUCUUCCUAUUCCCCUUCUUGAAGAUGUCUUGUGCAAAGAUGGGGAUGAAAAGGCUUCUUUUGUGAAAACUUUGCAUAAAGACAUCAAGAAGAGAAUUGAGAAGAAGGUUGGCAAGUAUGCUGAACUUGCCAAUAAAAGGAGAAAAGCAUUGUUGUUUGAUGAGGGCGAUUGGGUUUGGCUUCAUUUGAGGAAGGAUCGUUUUCCUACUCAAAGGAAGUCCAAACUAAUGCCUCGAGGGGAUGGACCUUUCCAAGUCCUCAAGAGGAUUAAUGACAAUGCUUAUGAGUUAGAUAUGCCUGAUACAUUCUUAGGUAGUCAUACUUUUAAUGUCAGCGAUCUAACUCCUUUUUCUGUAGGUCUCCAGAAUUCGUGGUCGAAUUCUCUCCAACUCGGGGAGUAUGAUGGAGAUCAAGCCCAAGAGAACAUGGAGGCCACUCAUCAAGCUCAAGAAGAGGUGGAGGCACAAAUGGAGGACGCCCAUGGAGGUCAAAGUCCACCUCAAAGGAUUACAAGAAGCAUGUUCAAAGCCUUGGGAGCUAGAGGACAUUUAUUUUCUCUUUUUGUAGUGUCUUUAGUUGAAGGUGCUUAGAGGGAAACCUUAGAAACCUCUUUUGUUAUAGCAUCUUUUAGGCUUUAGUUAGGAGCUUUAGGGGGGUGUAUUAGUAGAUAGGUGUAGAAGUAGAAUAGGGGGUGCCAAAGUAAAGGAAAGGAUCACACCUUCCUUGCUUAGCAAAUAGGCGCCGGUUCUAGUUUGAAUUAGGAGGGAAUUUUAAUUGUUUUAGCUUUCUUUUUCAGCACCUUAGGCUAUAAAUAGAGGUGCCUUCCUUGUAAAUUUCAGAUUUGAAUUUUAUCUAAAGAAACUAUACUCAAAAUUGGAGUGAGCAUUUGGAGAGCUUUGAGCUUCUUCUCUAGUCUUAUCUUGAAGGACCAUGGUUUCCUCAAGUGGCGGCUUCCACACUUAUCUAGGAGCAUCCAUUCUUCUAGUGGCGUGAUCAUCCAACCAUUCCUCCAUCUUCAUGAGCAUUCUCUUCUCCUUCCUUUCUUCUUCUUCAAUUUGUUCAUGUAGCCUUGAGUUUUGAGUUGUUUUUGUUUCGGUUCCUUUAAUUUUCCAGCACCUAUAUUCUGUUUACUUCUUAAUUCUGUUCGGUACUUUUGUUUUUAAUUCAAUUCUGUUCGGUCUCUUCUUUUCAUUCUCCUUUGUUGAUUCAAUUUGACAAUAUUUGGUUCAUCCAAAUGAGUUUGGGAUUUGGUACUUGUUAUUGGUGAGUUCUUGAUCUUAGAACCAUGAUCCAACUUCUAAGAAAGUGCCUCUACAUUUUCCAACUCAAGGUGAUUCCUCAAAGUGUCAAGAAUCUUGUUCUAUGUGGCUAUUGGAAUCACAUCAUUUCCUCUUCUUCUUACUUCUCGUAACUUAGGGCUUCGUCCUCCAUUACUUUCAUCACAACGAACUCCCGUUCGUUCGUUCUCCAUUCUUUGUCCACAAUCGAGUCGAUCUCUGUAACCUUUGUUAAUCCUUUUUCCUUUUUCCUUUGCUGUUCACGCGAUGGCUCGUACGAAAACCACCGCGAAUCCUCCUCCUUCAUCACGAAACCCUCCACCCCAAGCGCAUAACUUACCACGAGCAUCUGGUGCUCUUUCUUCCAGGCUGAGAGGCCUGCGACCUCUCACCCCAAUCUCACUCAGGCAACUCCACCAGUCGCCGGAGGAGCCUCCGUCGACACACGAGACUACAAGAAGCUUUAUCCGUGGGCCACCUCAGCUCUGUUGAAAGAAACCUCUUCCAUAAACACAACGUUGGGCGUGCACCGACUAAGGAAAGGGGACCAAUCUGAUCUUUCAUUCCAUAAGGAGCAUGACAACAAAAUGGUCGUGCUGCCCUGCCACCCGGAUGAACCAAUCUGUGCUGACAAUAAAGCGAGCAACGGCGAGCUGUUCUGCUUUCUCUACACGACGUUCUUCAAGAAGGUGAAGCUCCGACUUCCCUUCACUCGCUUCGAGAGGGAAUUACUAACUGAGCUCAACAUCGCCCCCGCCCAGCUUCACCCCAACAGCUGGGUGUUCGUAAGGGCGUUCCAGAUCAUGUGCGCACACCUAGGACUGCCAGCUUCGGUUGACGUUUUCCUCUUCCUCUUUGAAGCUAAGAAUCCUGGAGACCGCCUCUGGAUUAGCCUGAACGGGAUCGCUGGGAGGUCAAUCCUCUCCAUCUUCCAGCAAUAUUACAAAGAUUGGAAAGGGAAAUUCGUGAAGGUGUGCGCCAACGACCAGGAUCCUUCCCUGCUCGACGACUUCCCCUAGUACUGGGUACACAAGGGGAACAAAGACGCCAAAGAGAGCUUUAGGAGGCCCAGAAGUCCCGACAACAUGGGCGAGCUAGACAAGGAUCUAUGCCUUUUCUGGAAGAAAGUAGCAGCCGCCAACAUCACCUUUCCCACCUCCGCAAUAAUCUCCUUCGAGUUCCUCGAGGACCAACUCGAAGCUCACAUAGGUUAGCACUUACCUCGACAUUUAGGUUUUCGUCUUGUGUUGGAACUGAUUGCACAUCUCUGUUAUCUACCAUCGAGCGUCCUGCUUGUUGCGCACUGGACUUGGUUUUUAAUUCAUGCGCCAUUUGUUUGCAUCAUUCGCACACGUACUCAUAUAUUUUGCUCUUGCUUUGUGCUUACUUGUAUAUUUUUACCCUGUGCAGACCUCAUGUUGGGCAAAGGCAAACUAGUUGAACUGAGGGCGCUCGCCCGAACUCAUAAGUUGGUGACGGGUUCCCAAACCGUGCCCAACUCGGUGGUGGAGAUCGUCGCUGCCCAGGGUAGAUUGCCUCCUCAAGGCCCAGCUCCUCCAGAGACACUGCCCGCCCCCCAACGAAAAAAGCUCAUCUUAAGGAAACCAAAGAGGAAAACUCCUCAAGUGGUUCAAGAAGAUGAGGAUGAGGAUGAUGAGGCGACUGAGGACGGCCUUGUCACCAAAAGGAAAAGGGUGGCACCUUCUUCACCACCCGCUCUCCCAACACCAACACCGCCCUCUCUCCUAGCUCCAGCACCGCCCUCUCCCCCAGCUCCAACACCGCCGGUCCAAGCAACACCCUUGGCAGUCGCGCUUCCUGCGGUUGAAGGCAACAAGCCCAACUUCAUGGAGAACCCUCCUAGCGCCUCCACGCCGUUCGUAUCUGCUGGAGAGGGUCCUCCUUCAACUGCCUCAAUUGCUGAAGCCGCACCAGGUGGGGAUGAAGGCGCUCACAACUCGCCGAUACUCAUAACCGAGUCCCCCACUUCACCACCACGCCAGGAAGCCCCCCUUGCUCAACCAAUUCAAGAGGGUGGUGGUGAGAGUCAGCACCAGGCUCCUUUAGCGCCUCCACCAGCAGCAGCUGCAAGCCUUCCCCCCUUGGUCAAAGAAGUCUGGGGGCCUUUCACAGCUAAGCUAAAGAUGAUGGCAGAGGACCUUCCCUCAAUCAUAACAAAGGCUGUGAAGAGCUCCAACAAAAAGCUUCAGGACGAGAUCUCCACACUCCAGGAGGAGAAUCGCCUGAUAAGGAUCGAGGCGGAAAAGCUGUCUUGCAACCUGAUGAUGGCAGAGAUCGAUCACUCAAGGGUGGAGGACGCCAUGAGUGCCGAGUUGAAGGUUACGCGCAAGGAGGCCUCCGAUCUGCACCAGAAACUGCACCUCCUACAGGCUUAAGAUGGCCAACUUGGAGGCAUCGAUGAAAGCGGAUGCAGCCAAGGUAGAGAACCUUGAAAAGAGGUCGGCUGAUCGGGAGGUUAUCCUUGGAAAGCUCAAGAAGGAGAGGGACGACGCCGUGGACGAGCUCGCCAAGGCUCGAGAGGAAAACGAGAAAAUUGUUGCAGAGCUGGCCCAGGCGCGGGGAGAAGGCAAGAAGGUUGCUGACGACCUUGCUCAGGCUCGUGGGGAAACUGAAGAACUGAAGAAGCGAGCUGACGAGCUGAAGCAGCAAACCGAGGGGCUCAAACAACAAAACGAAGAGCUCGAACUAAGCUCCGCCCAAGUCCUUGCCGCCGGAUUCGACGCCGCCCUGGAGCAAGUCGCCUGCCAGUACCCCGAGCUCGACCUUUCCAUGGUGUCGAUAUGUAAUGAAGUGGUGGAUGGGAAGAUCGUGCCUUCUGAAGAUUAGUCGUCUCCCUCCAUCACUUAUUCCCUGGGAAUUAAUGCUUGUUCCUUUUUGCACAAACUUUACCUGUAAUAACUUUUUCUUUUCUUCUUAUGCAUUCGAACUGAUACCACCUUUAUUAUAAAUUCUCCCGCUUCCGCACAUGGUCUCUCUGUUUACUUUGCUUUUCCUUGUAGAAACCGCUUAAACAAAUUAACAUAGCGAUUAUGCGGGCUCAAUCGUUUACUUACUGCUUCAAACUCGAGCAAACUAUCAACUUUCAAACGAUGGCAUUUUAAUAACUUGUGAACUUAAGGCAACGAACUUCAGCGUGAAACUACUUACUAAACAACAAGCUUCGAUCCAACUGAUAGUUUAAGAUAUAGUUCACCUGAUCUGCUCCAUCGAAAUGGGCCCUUACUCUUGCCAUCACCUGAACUUCUUCUGAUCGCCAUAGGGUCCCGGCGAUGUAAGCUUCCUUUUGCCUUCAUAACUUGGCUAUUGUUCCCUCAUCUGGGGGUAGAGGCGCCUUUCGAAUCCUUCUCUACCUCCCUGAGUUUCAGAACAAUAAGCCGGAUAGCUAGGCGUUCUCUUUGAACCUACCUUAGCCAUCCUUUAAACUUCUUCCACCCUCCACACCGUACCUGAACUCGUUCGAGACGAGAAGGAUUUUAUCUUGCCUGAACUCGCUCGACGGCGAGUAGGUCUUUAUCUUGCCUGAACUCGCUCGACGGCGAGAAGGUCUUUAUCUUGCCUGAACUCGCUCGACGGCGAGAAGGUCUUUAUCUUGCCUGAACUCGCUCGACGGCGAGAAGGUCUUUAUCUGGUGCCUCUACUUUGCCCAGGGAUUACAUCUCCUCUUCCCUGGAUGCACUGAGGACUUUUAACUUGUUCUCGCCUGCACUCGCACAAAGUCGAGGAGGACUUUAAUCUCAUUCUCGCCUCAGGACGCGCGAGGGCGUUGAGGUCUUUUAAACAUUGUUGGUGCCUCCGAUCGCCGAAAGACGAUGAGGACUUUUAACUUUAACUGAUGCCGCCAAUCGCCGAAAAGCGAUGGGGACUUUAAAACUUUUAGAAAGCAUGCAGCAUAUCUUCAAACAUGCCUUAAAUCACAUACGAGUGUCAAGGUCUUUUUCUAAAACUUUCGAAACAACAAGCAUGCAAUCUUAGAAACUUUAAACUUUGAAAACUCUUCUUUAUUGGGUGGCCUCAUUAAAAACCCUCCUUAGGGAAAAAAGAGUGCCCCCUUCAAACUGUUUUAACAGAAAGCUUGCAAAUCUCUUCGUGUUUGUUUUUACUUACAAAGUUUCAACUGUAAUAUAACUUGAGGUGUGUGGCGUUCCAAGUGCGAGGAAUCGCCCCUCCUUCCAAUGUUUCUAAGCGGUAGGCGCCGUUCCCGAGCGCCUCGGUUAUUCUGAACGGUCUCGUCCACUUAGGCGACAACUUGUUUUCCAUCUCGUACUGGUGGGUCUUCCUCAUCACCAAGUCGCCUUCUUUAAACUGCCUUGGCAUCACCUUCGAGUUAUACCUUCGUUCAAUCCUCCUUUUCACUGCCUCGGCUUUUACUCUCGCCUCCUCCCUGACCUCAUCCAGUAAAUCCAGAUUCAACCUUCUUUCCUCAUUCGAGUCUUCCGCUACAAAGUUCUGGAAUCUCGGCGAGCUCUCCUGGAUUUCCACUGGAAUCAUCGCGUCGCAUCCAUAGACCAAGCUAAACGGGGUCUCAUGGGUUCCUGGCUGCUCGGUGGUGUGGUAUGCCCAAACUAUGUGGGGUACCUCCUCAGCCCACAAUCCCUUGGCUUUCUCCAGCCUCCUCUUCAAGCCUCUUAGCAACACCCGAUUGGCGGACUCUACUUGGCCAUUUGUCUGAGGGUGCUCGACGGAUGCAAAUACUUGUUGAAUUCCCACCUCUUCGCACAGCCUCUUCGACAGAUGACUUGCAAACUGAGUCCCGUUGUCUGACACCAGGCACUUAGGCACACCAAACCGGCACACGAUGUUCUUCCACACAAAGCUCUCGAUCUUGUGUGCGGUGAUCUGGGCUACUGGUUCUGCUUCGAUCCACUUGGUGAAAUAUUCAAUUGCCACCACCAAGUACUUCAUCUGCCUGAUCGCCAAUGGGAAAGGUCCCAGGAUGUCGAUUCCUCACGUAUGAAACGGCCAAGGGUUGUAAAUCGACUUUAACUCUUCUGGCGGCGCUUUGUGCCAAUCGGCGUGCUGCUGACAUUGCUUGCAACACUGUGCAUACCUCUUGCAGNNNNNNNNNNNNNNNNNNNNNNNNNNNNNNNNNNNNNNNNNNNNNNNNNNNNNNNNNNNNNNNNNNNNNNNNNNNNNNNNNNNNNNNNNNNNNNNNNNNNUGUUGGCCAGUAGUAACCUGCACGGAGGGUUCUUGCGGCCAGAGCUCGACCCCCGACGUGACUUCCGCAUAUCCCUUCAUGAAGCUCGGCCAUAAUUCUUGUACAUUUCUCUCCGUGCACACAUUCCAGGAGUGGGUGUGUGAACCCAAACCUAUACAACUCGCCAUCAAUCAUUGUGAACUUGUUGGAGUUCUUCUUUAUCUUCCUAGCCUCCGUCGGAUCCAGCGGGAGAAGGCCAUCUGCCAAGCAUCGCUGGUAUUGUGUUAUCCAUGUGUCUGGCUCAUGCGUAGCGCAGACCUGCGUCAUGUUCACCCUCUCCCCCCGACAUGCUCUUAUUCUCGGCGAUCUCAAGGUUUCCUGAGUCAAAGACCUGUGACUCCUCACCGCUUUCUCCGUCGACUUGCUUAUUUGAAGGACCAUGUGGUCUGCCACAAAUGCUCUAGGCGUCUUCAGAGUUUCUUGGAUCACCGUCCUCUGCCUACCCCCUUCGCCCGAACUGGCGAGCUUAGCUAGCAAGUCUGCUCGGGCAUUCUGCUCUCUGGGCACAUGCACCACUUCAAAGGAGACAAAGGAAACCUUCAAUUCCUGCACGUACGCUAAGUAAGCCGCCAUUUGUGGAUCCUUGGCCUGGAACUCGCCUGUUACUUGUCCCGUGACCAACAGCGAGUCACUCUUAGCCAUCAGCACCCUAGCUCCCAUCUCCUUGGCCAGCAAGAUUCCGGCGAUCAGCGCCUCAUAUUUUGCUUGAUUGUUGUUGGCUUUGAAGGCAAACCUCAGGGACUGUUCAAUCAGCACACUGUUGGGCCCUUCCAGGAUGACUCCAGCACCGCUACCCUGCUGGUUCGACGAUCCGUCCACCGAAAGCACCCAACGAAAACCAUCCCCUUCAACUCGUGCUGCCUCCGACGAGAGUUCGACCACGAAAUCGGCGAAAACAUGCCCCUUGAUCGGUCCUCGGGGUUCAUACUUGAUGUCGAACUUCGAUAGCUCCACUGCCCAUUUCACCAUCCUUCCAGCUACAUCAGGCUUCUUCAAGACUUUCUGGAUGGGCAAGUCGGUCAUCACCAGUAUUGUAAAGCUGUGAAAAUAGUGGUGCAACCUCCUCGCCGAAAACACCACAGCCAGUGCAGCUUUCUCCAAGGCCUGAUACCUCACCUCCGGGCCAUGGAACACCUUGUUGACGAAAUAAAUAGGCUUCUGAGCCUGGUCUUGGGCGAGCACCGCACUCACCGCCCUCUCAGUCACAGCAAAAUACAAUAUGAGAGGGGUCCCCACCAACGGUUUGCACAAAACCGGCGGGCUCGCCAGGUACUCUUUAAGCUUGAUGAAGGCCUCUUCACACUCCCUCGUCCAGGCAAACUUAUUGUUUCGCCUUAAACACUGGAAGUACGGAUGGCCUUUCUCCCCGCUAGCCGACACGAAACGAGACAGGGCGGCCAUCCGACCUGUAAGCUGCUGCACCUCCUUCACAGUAGCCGGACUCCUCAUCGCCAAGAUGGCAGCACACUUAUCAGGAUUUGCCUCUAUUCCUCUUUCAGUUAAGAGGAAUCCCAAGAACUUCCCUGCCUCCACGCCAAAAAUGCACUUCUCGGGAUUCAGCUUUAACCUGAACUUGGCAAUUGUGGUGAACAAUUCCUCCAGGUCCGCAACGUGCUUGCUCGUUUCCGGCGAGGUCACGACCAUAUCAUCCACAUACGCUUGCACAUUCCUUCCCAUCAUUGGUGCAAGUACCCUAUCCAUCAAUCUUUGGUACGUGGCCCCCGCGUUCUUCAGCCCAAAGGGCAUCACUUUGUAGCAGUAGCACGAUCUUUCGGUCAUGAAGGCGGUCUUCUCUUCGUCCAUAUGAUGCAUUUUUAUCUAGCUGUACCCCGAGAAGGCGUCCAGAAAACUCAACAACUUACACCCUGCAGCACUGUCGACCAGGGCAUCUAUGCUUGGCAAAGGAUACGAGUCCUUUGGGCAAGCCUUGUUCAGAUCAGUGAAGUCGACACACAUGCGCCACUUCCCAUUGCUUUUCUUCACCAGCACGACAUUGGCCAACCACUCAGGGUACUAAACUUCCCUGAUAUGGCCUGCGGCGAGGAGCUUCUGUGUUUCAUCCCUGAUCGCCUGCCUCCUCUCCUCGUUAAACUUCCUUCUUCUCUACCGCACUGGUCUGACCUGGUUGUCCAUUGCUAGGCGAUGGCACAAGAAGUCUGGGUCGAUUCCCGGCAUGUUUGAAGCAGACCAUGCGAAAGCAUUCAGAUGCCGCUCUAUCACCUUGGCGAUCUGGUCUUGGAGUUCAGCCUCCAAAGAUCUUCCCAGCUUGAAGACUUUUCCCCCGAUCUCCCUCUCGAGCCACUCCUCGACGGGUUUGGGUCGGGUUUCCCUGGCGAUCACCGCCUUGGCGAUUCCCAGCUCCCUCGCUUCCUCUGGGCGAUUCCUCACCUCUUCUUCCCGAUCGGCGUUCUCCUCCCUUGCUUCAGCAUCUACCAUGACGACGUCGCUACCGGCGGUAGCCUCCAGCUCCGUCGACCUGGGCUUCACACCGGGAGGCGGGGUGGUAGUGAUGUAACUUACUGACCUCUUAUUUUUCACACUAUUCUCAUAGCACUUCUUCGCUUCCUUCUGGUCAGAUUUGAUGGUGAUCACCACCCCCUCCAUAGACGGCAACUUCACCUUCAUGUGCCUGGUCGAGGACAUAGCUCCUAUUCUGUUGAGUGUUGGUCUUCCCAACAGAAUGUUAUAUGCUGAGGGAGCAUUCACGACGAGGUACUUGAUUUUCUCCGUCCUCGAGCCCGCCACAUCUGUGAAUGUAGUUCUUAACUCGAUGUACCCCCUAACCUCCACCUGGUCACCAGCGAAACCGUAUAAGCACCCUCCAUAGGGCCUCAGCUAGUCAAGGGUAAUUGCAGCUGUGUGAAAGUCGGCCAGAACAUCACAUCUGCCGAGCUUCCUUGUUCCACCAGUACCCUGUGGACCUUCCUCCCCGCUGUGACGAGCAAGAUAACUAUGGGAUUGUUGUUAUGAGGCAACGUCCCUGAGAUCUUCUCUUGUGAACGUGAUGUCCACAUCUGGCGAGUGGUCCUCGAACAUGUCCACCGUCAUCACAAACCUUGCAUACUUCUUCCUCUGUGAUGCGGUGCAUCCACCACCUGAGAAACCUCCUGCGAUGGUAUGGAUCUCUCCAUGAGUGGGCAUCUCGUGCUGCUGAGCCUCACCACCCGCCGGCUGGGAGCUCGACGCGCCCCCCGUCCUCCUGUCCAACAGGUAAUCAUUCAGGAAACCGCUCUUGACCAGGUCGUCGAGCUGGUAUCCGAGUGCCAAACAUGAGUCGACGGGGUGACCAAAACUCUGGUGGAAUUCGCACCAGGCGUCUGGUUUUGGUCCUAACACCUUGUCGCCCACUUUCUCGGGUGCCUUGAGCUUGGCUGUUAUGUUGGGGAUGGCGAUCAGGUCCGCCAACCCCAUGACAAACUUAUGCUUUGGCGGGGCGAUUGUACUCCCUGAGGCGCCCUGGGCCCCUGCCCUUGUUUUUCCUUGGAUCAUAAGGAUGGCGAGUCCUUUGAUCCCUCUUGGCCGCCGCUGUCUCCAGCACCCUCUGUGGUUGGAUCCUGGUCUGGGCACAUGGCCUAGCGGGGGCCACGCUCCCUCUCUUCUCGGCGACCUCACUCUCAUCGACGAUGUGGGCCACCGCAAGUCACCUAACCUCAGCAAACGUGGCGGGGUGAGCCCUGAUCAGAGCCUCACAGAAAGGUCCCGGCAGCACGCCCUUUUUGAAGGCGUAUACCAGCAUCUCCUCGUCUUUCGCAGGCGAGCGGACCAUCUGUGCUCCAAAACGAUUCAGAUAGUCCCUGAGGGACUCUCCCUGGUAUUGCCUUAUGUCGAACAGGUCGUAAGACACCCUAGGUGGCGCUUUGUUCACAAUGUACUGCUCGACGAAAAUCUUCGAAAACUGUUGGAAAUUGGUUAUGUGACCUGUAGGCAGGCUCACAAACCAUUCCAGCGCUGUUCCCUGAAGCGUGCUCACAAACAUUUUGCAAUACAUAGCAUCCGAGCCUCCUGACAGCAUCAUCUGCGUGUGGAACGUGGUGAGAUGUGCCUCAGGAUCCUCCACGCCGGUGAAAGUAGCCUUCACGGGUACCACGCUCGCAGGGAUAGGCGUGUAUGUGAUCGCCUGAGCGAAUGGCAUAGGGAAAACGCGAGGUGGCGACGACGAUGCGACCUUCGUAGAAACCUGCAACUUCACCUCAGAUCCUCCACUUCUUCAACAGGCCCUCGAUUCCCUAACCAAAAACGCAAUCAAACAGAAACACACCGAACGGCCGAUUGAACACCGCGCGAACGGCAAGAAACUCCAAGAAAAACGAUCGAAAGCUUGAACGGAUGGUGGAAAACCUCACUCCACCGAUUAAAACUUCGAACAACGGUAGAAACCUCGAAUUCACCGGACAAGACUCACACGAGCGGUGAAAAACACGAGUUUACCGAACAACAUCUUGAACGAACGGCGGAAAAUGGUUACACCAGCACGCAACCACACAGAAACUACCGAAACUUCAAGAACUCACGUUGCGAAAGGGGACAGGUUUUACACGGCCCCACGGUGGGCGCCUGAUGAUCCUUCCUGUUGACCAGAACGCUGGAGCCUUGCCUCGUCAAAUCUGGAUCGACUUUGCACCGUGCUAGCUUCCGUCUUUCGCCUUGAUUCACCUCAAGAACCUGCAAAAGACAGAACGGCACCGCUGCGGCCGAUCACGCUCCGACGUCCAAGUCAGCGACUGAACCACCAAAAUACUAAGAGAAAACUAAGAACUUCAGGAACCGUGCAAUAUUCUCUCUCAGUGUAAUCCAGUUCUCGCGAGCGUAAAAGAAGUAUUCUAAAAUGCGCGUACCUCAGAAGUUCGUUAGGAUUCCUUAUAUACCUGUGCAUUUUCUCUCUCCUGACAGUUACACAUCUGGACACGUGGCUCGUAUCCAGCUGUACACGUGUCACCAUCUGGAGCAUCCUUGACUUGAGCGUCGCCUCUUACUCUUCAGGCUUUUCGACUAAGUUACUUAUGCAGGAAGCAAUUCAGCGUAUAACUGCCUAGGAGCGCGAUAUCUUCUGCGUGGCGAGUACGGGUGUCUUCAUAUACACCUUCCCUGUGGUCUCGCUGGCUGCCAUUAUAUUCUACUUUACUUACUUCACUGUGCAUGCUCGGGUAAGCUGUUCCCCGACCUCAACCUCUGGCCAGCUAGGGAAUGACCAUCUGACGACUUCAUCCUUUGCUUCAAAAGCCUGGAACAAGCUUUCUUGAUCCUUCGACGAUGUCAUCCUCUCGGCGAUCUCCGAUCGUCUUGUCGCCUAGGUUCGCACCCGGCGACUACAACACAAACUUGGUGAUCGCCGUUUUAGGCAUGCUAGAGAUCGGGCACGCCAACUUAACGACUGGCGAUCACACGAGCCUCCCGACGUCCUUCCCUUCUACCAGCCCGGUGUCCCGUUCAACACGCCUAUACUAUUGCUUGCGGCAACGUCAUCAAUUCCGACUACCUGGGCGGUACAAGAGGAAUGUGGCAAGGUACACCCUUAUAGAUGGAAAGUUUUUUUGUCAUAGUUAUACCCAUCUCAUCCUCACUUGUGUAAGUGGGGAUCAGUGUGCUUGCAUCAUGGCAGAGUUCCAUGAAGGCAUUUGCGGAAGUCAUGUGGGAGGGAGAACUCUCUCGCUAAAGGUCGUCGAGCUGGGUAUUAUUGGCUAACUAUGAAGAGGAUUGUAUGAGACACGUACAAUAAUGCGAACAAUGUCAGAAGCAUGCUGAUUGGCAUCAUGCGCCACCUGAGGAGUUACAGUCAAUAUAUAGCCCCUGACCUUUCCAUACAUGGGGAAUAGACAUCUUAGGUCUUUUUCCUUUGUCAAUUCAUCAGAUGAAAGUACCUUGUGAUAGCCAUUAAGUACUUCACAAAGUGGAUAGAGGCUGAGCCAGUUGCACAAACCCACAAGGUGCAACACUUUGUGUGGAAAAACAUUGUUUGUUGUUUCGGGAUCCCUAGGCACUUGGUGUCUGAUAAUGGUACCUAGUUUGCAAGUCAGCAGUUAUGCAAGGUAUGCAUGGAGCUCGACAUCAAACAUGUAUUUGCAUCUGUGGAGCACCCUCAAAUGAAUGGCCAAGUCGAGUCUGCCAAUAGAGUCUUGCUCAAAGGUUUGAAGAGGAGGUUCCUCAAAUUUUGUGGGCUUAUCACACUACUUCUCAGUCAAUAAUCAAGGAGACACCUUUUAGUUUGGUAUAUGGGUCAGACGCCAUGAUACCAGUAGAGAUCCAAGAAAGCUUGCCUCAGUUCCAGAACUUCGUGAUAAAGGAGUCUAACCAAGGAAGGAAGGUGAACCUGGAUCUGCUAGACAAAAUGCAUGAACAAGAUCGCAUCAAUUCUGAAGCUUUAAAGAGAAGGAUGGAGGUGAAGCAAAAGACCAAUUUGAAGCCCCGACAGUUCCGAGUUAUCGACUUGGUGAUGCGAAAGGUGCACCCCUAUCAGCUGGAAAAUAAGUAGUGUCUAAAAUGGACUGGCCCAUUCCACGUGGUGGAGGUGCUUGGGAACAGAGCCUAUGGGCUUGAAACCCUUGAAGGGGGAGCUAUACCUCGAACAUGGAAUGGGGCGAACCUUAAGUUUUAUUUCAGUUAAGAUAUUUUGUUAAUGUUUUCUUUAUGAACGAUGUAGUGAUUAAGGGGACACACUUUUUCCCUUAAGAGGGUUUUUUAACGAGGUCACCUAAUGAAAAUUUGUUCUUGAAAGAUGAUGCAUUAGAGUUUUUUGUUUGUUACAUGAUAAGGCGACUUGCCGGUGAGAUUAUCUGAGUAAGCGUUAUGUGUGUUACUAAUUAUGUAGUGCCUGACGAGGCGACUUUUCCUUGGUAAGAUUCCAAGUCUAGGUGUUUCGAAGUUCAUUGUGAUUCAGUUGGGGCGACCUUUCCUUGGUAAGAUUCUGAGUUCAGGCGCCCCGAAUCACAAUUAGUUGUAACUAAGAUUUUUUAGUUAAAAGCAGAUAAGACGACCUCACUCAGUUAGAAUACUUGAGUAGACGUUCUAUGGAAAAAUUGGUCAUUUAUAGGAAGGUAAUACGACCUACCUCGGUGUUGGUAAGACCACCCGAGCUCGGGAGCUCUGUAGAUGAAGGCUGAGACUAAGAUUGUCUAAGAAGUCGGGGUAGUCCGUCGAGAGGGCAAUCAUCCGAGUUCGAACACCCUAUGGGGUAGUAAUACACCGCGAAAGAAAUUGUUUAAGAGUUGACUUGGUGUGUAAGCCAACACCCGAUUUAGAUGCUCUAAACAAAAGUAAUUUUUUAGUAGUUGACUUGGUGUGUAAGCCAACACCCGAGUUAGAUACUCUAAACAAGGGUAAUUGUUUAGGAGUUGACUUGGCGUGUGGGCCGACACCCAAGUUAACUACUCCAAACCAAUGUGAUUGUUUAAGGAGUUAACUUGGCGUGUAAGCCAACACCCAAGUCAAAAGCUCCAAGAUUAUAAACAAAUCAUUCUUAGUGUAGGGGAAAAAGGAUCAAGCUUGUAAAAAAUGCGAGCCUUUGAGUAUUGAAAGCCCUGCUUAGCAAGGUUAAAGUAUGUGAUCCUUAUUUAAGUAGUUGAAGGGCACUCAUGUGAGUUAAGAGGUUUUAUGCGGCCAGAGGGUAUGGAUCCUCCAACGAUUAGUUUGUCAAAGCAUUACGAUUUUUCGUGCUUGAUUGAGGUAUUAAGUUUGUUGUCUUUUUAGCUUAAGUGGGUUAGCAUAGGUGUAAAUUGGCUCGGGGCGAUAUCCAGACAACCGGGCCAGGGCUAAUGUCGAGCCAAGCAGACCCAGACCGAUGUCGAGCCAAGCAAGUCCAGGUCCAGGUCGAUGACCAGCCGAGCAGGUCCAAGUCCAGGUCGAUGUCGAUGUCGAGUUGAGCAGGCACGGGCGAAUGUCGAGCCGAGCGGGCCCAGGCUGAUGUCGAGUAGAGCGAGCCCGAGCCGAUCUCGAACCGAGCGGGUCCUGGCCGAUGUCGAGUCGUCUGGGCCCCGGGUUGAUGUCGAAUCGUCCGAGCUUGGGCCGAUGUCAAGUCGUCCGGGCCCAGGCCGAUGUUGAUUCGUUUGAACCCGGGUCGAUGUCAAGUCAUCCGGGCCCGAGCCGAUGUCGAGUCGUCCAGGCCAGGGCAGAUGUCGAGUUGAGAGGGCUGGAGCCGAUGUUGAGCAGAACGGUUCAGGGCUGAUGUCGAGCCGAGCGGUCCCGGGCCGAUGUAGAGCUGAGCGGUAUCGGGCCGAUGUCGAGCCAAGCGGGCCCGGGCCGAUGUCGAGUCGUGCAGGCCCGAGCCGAUGUUGAGUCGUUUGGGCCCGAGCUUAAUUCAAGUCGUCUAAGACCGGGCUGAUGUCAAGUUGUCCCGGCCCAGACCGUUGUCGAGUCGUCCGGGUCCGGACCGAUGUCGAGUCGUCCGGGCCUGGACCGAGUCGUUUAGGCCCGAGUCGAUGUUGAGUCGUUCGGCCUGGACUGAUAUCGAGUCGUCCGGGCCCGACCCGAUGUCGAGUCGUCCGGGCCCGGGCAGAUGUCGAGUUGAGAGGGCUGGAGCCGAUGUUGAGCAGAGCGGUCCCGGGCUGAUGUUGAGCCGAGCAGUCCCGGGUCGAUGUCAAGCCAAGCAGGCCCGGGCCGAUGUCGAGUCGUGCAGGCCCGGGCCUAAUUCAAGUCGUCUAAGACCGGGCCGAUGUCAAGUCGUCCAGGCCCAGACCGUUGUCGAGUCGUCCGGGUCCGGACCGAUGUCGAGUCGUCCGGGCCUGCACCGAGUCGUUUAGGCCCGGGUUGAUGUUGAGUUGUCCGGCCUGGACCGAUGUCGAGUCGUCCAGGCUCGGACCGAUAUCGAGUCAUCUGGGCCCGGGUCGAUGUCGAGUCGUCUGGGCUUGGGCCGAUGUCGAGCCAUCUAGGUCUGGGCCGAUGUAGAGUCGAGUUGGUGUACGUCUAGGUUGAGUCGGCUUAGUCCUAAUUCAAGCCAAGUUAGUUUGUGUCCAUAUCAAAAUGGAUUUAAAGUAAUUGACAAAGUGGAUUUAAUCUAGAUUUAAUCCACUUUAAAUGGAUUUUAAAAAAAUCCAAAUAUAUUUGAUCUAGUUAAACUGGAUAUGGAUUUUAAAUCCAAUCCAUUUAUUUGGAUUUGGAUUGGAUCUAGAUUGGAUUUUAAAAAAUCCAAUCCAUGACCACCCCUAAUCACAACAGAUAAAAUAUCUCUUUAUCUUUUAUCUCUGGAAUAAUAUCACAAUAGAUAAAAUAUCUCUUUAUCUUUUAUCUUUGGAAUAAUAUGACAACAGAUAAAAUAUCUCAUUAUCUUUUAUCUCUGGAAUAAUAUCACAACAGAUAAAAUAUCUCUUUAUCUUUUAUCUCUAGAAUAAUAUCACAAUAAAUUAUAUCUCUGUCUUUUAUCUCUAGAAUAAUAUCACAACAAAUAAAAUAUCUCUCUAUCUUUUAUCUCUAAAAUAAUAUCACAAUAAAAUAUCUCUCUCUCUUUUAUCUCUGGAAUAAUAUCGCAACAGAUAAAAUAUUCCUUUAUCUUUUAUCUUCAUAAUAAUAUCACAAUUGAGAAAAUAUUCCUUGACCUUUUAUGUUCAUAAUAAUAUCACCACAAAUAAAAUAUUUCUUUAUCUUUGUUACCUUUUCUGGGUUGACCAACAUCUGAGCUGAUCUUACGACUCACCUCUUGUGCCCAAACACCGAGAUGACCUUCCCCAAACACUUGGAUCGAGAUGGCGAGCUCUCCUGCAUGUUACACAUGCCCCCCGUCUUACCUGCCACUAGGUAAUCAUUUACUCACGGGGCGCCUAUACUCGAGUGGUAGUAUUGGCACCGAGCUAGGUCGACUUACCAUGUGCCAAUUCAAACUAAUCAAUAGAGCUAAAUGCAUCAUCUUCUAAGAACAAAUUUAUCACACAUCGUUAAAAAAAGAAAGCAUUAAGCAAGAAUAUCUUAGCUGAAAGACAACUCGAGGUUUGCCACAUUCCACGCUCGAGGAAUGGCCUCAACUGGUUGGCCUUGGCUUCUUCGUCUACAUAUUAGAGUAGACUUUCAUGGUCUCCAUGAUUUGCUGCAAGGUGGGGUCCUUGGUCCCUUCACAUCCCAGUGGACCUUGCCUCGUGUUCCUCAUUAUGUCACAAACUCAAACACAACUGUGGAUGGGAUAAGGUUUUAUCGAACCCUACGAUGGGCGUCAAAUGUUCUUGCCGGUUAACUUGGUUGCCGGUUGACUUUGAUGACCGGUUCAGGCCCCGCCUGUCUCCUCUGGAAUUUGCACUUCCCUUGGUUGAUGAAUGCUUUACCUGUAGAGACAAAAGGGCACCCUUACGGCCGUUUGCACUCCGACGCUCAAGUCAGUAAGGGCUAAAGAAUAAUAAGUAUGUAAAACAGUUUUAGUCUUAGAAACGACGUACCUUUACCAGGGAUCUUAACUCCCUUUUAUAGACUGCUUUUAGGUUACCUUAUUGUAACAACCCCUCUCUCACCAGAGCCUUAUCUCUAGUGAAAUUAGGUUUGCUGGAAGGACAUUCUAUUACGUUGUUACACAAUCUUAGAGCACAUAAUCUUCCUCUUUGGAGUGCACAAUCUUAACAACAUGGUCGCCAGGGUACCAACUCAUGUACCAGCAUUACGAGGUCCAUCUGUUACUGUAGGUGCCCUAGUCCUUACCUAUCAUGCAUGCAACUUUCCCCUGAAAACCCUAGCGCUCUUGGGCCUUGUCGUCUUCAGGGGAUAUUUACUUAUGUUAGACCCGGAUGUACUAUACACACCAUAUACACUUCUCUUGUUGACUAGGCUUUUCAUUUAUACACGACUUUCAACACACGCAUCUCUGGGGGCCCACUUACGUGGUCCACUAUCUCGAUCAGAUCACCGAGCCGACUUGUUCCACAGGUGCCGAUGUCUGAUGCCUGAUGACGAUGUCCGAUGUUUGGUCCAGUACACAGAUCUUUCUUGUCAAUCCGAGCCAACAUGCUAUCUUCGAAAGGGGAUAAGAGGAAAUUAGCAACAAUAAAAAAAGUCAACACCAUCGAGAGUAAAGAGUGAAAAGUACCGAUGUAAGCUUUUAGAGCCCUUGGGGCGAACUCUUUGCUUAUGAGAGUGGUAGUGUCGAAUACCACCUUUAAGCUCGAGAGGAAUUGACAGACCUUCUGGUCACGCUAGGGCAUAUCUUCCGGGCGUCGAGAACCUUGGAAGCGUGGCUUCUUGGUCCAGUACAGAGGAAACCCAACCAAGAGAGUUGGAUCCCUCUUAUUAGAUCGUACCUUUAAGAAUUUACCUUUAAAGCCCUUGUAGGAUUGUUGGAAGAACGAUAACAAUGCUCUCCCAGCCACCCCGUUGAAAGACACCCAAAGUUGGCGGCCUAAGUGUUUGGCCUCAAAGAAAUACAAAAAGACUUCCAUAAAUGGCAAAAGGCCAAACUGCGUGCAAAGAAUGCAGAAACCCCGAACAAAUGGCCAGCUAUUUGGGCAGAGGCCAUGUUGAUCUCAGUAAGGAGCUCUUUCUCAAAGUUGAACAGGGGAAGAUGAAGAAGGAUUCUUUUGAAUACGGUGGCAUAGAAGUAGUAAAAGGGACCUUCAGGGUCCGAUGACUCAUCGCAGUAGACGAGUUCAUCUUCUCUACAUGGGAUUAACCUAAUGGCUCUAUAUUUCUCUUUUCCAAAAAAACAUUUAUUUUUUCUAAGGGCCACUAUUAGCUCACGAGAGGGGUAGAUAGAGACCAAUUCUAAUAGGUUUUGGGGUGCCCAGGGGUAUAAAGCUUUGUAAUUCAUUGCUUGAAUAUAUAAAAAUAAAAACACAAGCAAAGUACAAACACACAUUCAGACAAGACAAACCACAUGUAACAAUACAUUUCAAAUUCAAGCAAAGCAAUGUAACUAACAAAUAUAACAAUCAGUAUAAGUAGGAAAUGGUAAAUUCAGAAGAAUCCCCAACUCAGGAAAUAUGGUCGCAAUGAAUACUCUCAACUGAUAAGGAUGCAAAUACAUAAUAAUUGAUUUGAGCGAGAGGAGGUACCUUGUUUCAAGGAGCGAUUGAGGAUGAGGGAGUUUCCCAGGUUCGCGAAGGGGGUGGAGUGAGAAGGAGAAAAACACAAAGAGUUUGCAAAGAUUAGAGAAAUGGAACAAUGAAGAGUAGCAGGUAUCUAAACGUUAACAUAAUGAUUAUGGGAAUGGUAAGCGACAACACCUUUCCACUAUUGAUAAGAGCGCUACAUGUGCGUCCAUGAUUGAGUAUGUUGAAAUGUCACCUCAAAAACCCUUCGUACGUCGCGCUACACCUGCUCGUUGCGAGACUGUCACUAGAGCACUCGAAAAGCCUUUUUGCUUAGCCAAGCUAAACUCGAGCCAGAGGGGCUUGUGUACUGGACAGAGCGCUCAGGGCUCAGUGCUCGGUGGUCGAAUCUCGGUGUAUAGCAUAUGCAAGUCAGCUCGGCUGUUGGGCUUGUAAAGGGGGUCGUGAGUUUGGUCGAGUCAUAUAGGUAAGCCCGUUGUGGCAUAACUAAAAUAAUAUUUUUAUACCUUAGUAUAAGGCUACUAGUAAAGGGUAUUUUUGAACCUAGGGGUACGAAUAGUACAUGUCGUGCCUAGGUCAAGUAAAUGUUUUUUUAAACUUGAGAACGUGUGUUCUAGGGCACAAAGUGGUUAAGUUGCAUGUGGGAUAAAAGAUAACGUUGCACCACGAGUAGGGUGCCCCCGUAAGCAGAAUAUUCCCCUGUUGUUGGCACAUAAGUUGGUGCCCUACUGGUAGGUGGUUGUUCUUUUAUUAUUUUAUGAUAUCUUUAGAGAUAAGAUUCAUUUCUGUUGCAACACUUGAGAGAAGGCGCCCAUCAACAUAAUGUUUUCCUGUUGAGUAUGCUUUCAGUUGAGAUUAGAUUCUCAUGAGGAAAACUGUUACAAGAGAUAAGCUAUAAAAGGGAGUUUGAGACCUCAGGUAAAUGUAUGUUGUUCCUGAGACUGAAACUGAAUACUUCUUGAAUUUUAGUAAGCCUUUUAUUGACUUGUUCGCCGGAGUGCCAUCAACAAGUAGGGUCCCCUCUGUUUCAACGGAGGUACGUUUCAGAGGUACAAGAGAUAUGAAAGAUUCCUAAAGAGACAGACGAAGCUAGAACUUGUCAACAGACGAGCAAGUCAACCGGCAAGAACAACAUCAUUAGAGUGUUGACAAGAGUUAGUUGAAUUUGAUUAACACAUGUUUGAUUUAGUUGAACCAUGUGCGAGAAUUGAUGAAGAAUUUAUCUAUGAGGAACUUAGAAGAACACCUACAUUUUUUACUUUUUAUAUUCUACUUUAUUUUUCUGCACAACUAUCUCAACCUGUUAUUUUAAUGGUUAUUGUUAACUUUUUUUUUUUAUUUGUAAAUAUAUUUUGAAUACUGAUACAGUAUCCCACUAAUGAAUUCUUAACCUAUCCUAAUUCAAAAUAUAAUCAUUCUAACUUUUACAUAAUUUUAUUCAAUGACCAUAUGCAAUAUAAAUUAAUAUCCUUUCAAGUGUAUUUAUGAAUAGAUAUUAAAAAUAUUAAAUAAUACUAAAAGCAUUCAAAUAUGUCAUUAAUUAGUUUGUGCUGUCAAUGACUUUAGAGCUAAUUAUCACAUAAUUGAUAAUUUAGUAUAGGAAAUAUUUUUCUAGUUUUUUAACACGUGAGCAUGUUUAAGUUCAAAACCAAGAUUACAAAUGUACAUUUAUUAUAACUUAUAAGAACGAAGUUGACCACUUGGAAAAUAAUAUAAAAUAAACUCCAUCAAUUAAGUGGUGUAGGUAAAACAAAAUGAUUUUAAGUAUUUCUAGAAAUUAUAUUAAACAGCAUAAAAUGGUUUAAAUAAUUCUAAAUUAAUGUGUAUUGAUAUUUCAAAAGUUAUUUAAUUUUGGAUAAAAUUGAGAAAAGGUGAUGGUGUGUUGUAACACAAAACUAGUUGUAAGAUGUAACCAAUGGGCGUGUGUCUGCGUCCCUUCAGUAUCAUCUCAUCCACAUAAUAUUAGUAUCAAUAUCUUUCCAAAAUAAAACAAAAUAAAAAAUAAAAACAAAAAGUAGAAAUGAUAGUGGGGAUUGCAUCAUAGUUCUACCCAACACUUUUGAUUUCACAGCUCUUCUUCUGGACCUGGGAUUCUCUCAUCCAUGGCCACCGUGCAUUUCCAAUCCCUAACCCUCACUCGCUCCUCCAGAGCCCCUUCCCUCACCUUCUCUCCUCCGGUUGCCGUCAUCGGCAGCCGCAUCUCUGCUUCGGUGCCACGAUGCUCCGGCCUCCGGCUCCGAUCCUCCGUUCGAACCGCUUUUUCGACUCGCGCCGCCUCGAGAACCGCUCCUCGCGGCGGAUGCGUGGUUUGCGAAGCACGAGAUACCGCCGUCGAAGGUUAGAUUUCGAUUUCGAUGCGAAGAUUUGUUGUUCAGGUUCUGUAGGAGUUUUGUAAUGUUGUUGUGGUUUGUCAAAUGUUCUGUGAAAUUUCUUGUGCGCUGUGUGGAUUUGGAAUGUUAAAAUCAUUGAAUUAUUCCAACGAUGAUGCUAAUUGUUUGAGCCUUUGAGCAUUUUGGUGAGUGAAGCUAAGAAAACACUAGAACAGUUUGGUAUUUGUUUUAUUUGAUAUUUUUUUGUAUUCUGAUUUUUAUUUGACGACUAAUAUUUUGUAGAUCUGGAUUCUAGUGCUUUGGAUUUUUUUCUUAUAGCUGUGCAUAGCUUGAAACGUUUCUUGCAUGAUUAUCUGUUUUGUGGUGAGAAAAAUGGAAUAGCUGGAAUUGUUUGAAGAGUUUCUCUUUGUAUAUACAUGUACCUGUGUUUUAUAACCUAACUAUAUCUCUAUUGGAAACAGGACUAAUUUUAUAGUGUUAGCGUAUCAUGCUUGUAGCCAUAAGUUUAGCAAACAAUCAGAACAGAAACUGCAUCAUCAUUUUACGUCACUCUCGCAGGCUGUUUCAUUUUCUUCUGGCAUGUUUCACAUCGACCCAUUACAUGUAAUGUAAGGUUAAAUAUUCGCUUGAAUGUAUCAUUAUAAGCAAUUCUUUCCCUCUUGAUAAUGUCUCUAGCCACCAAUCUUACGCUGAUAAGUUUUUAGAAUUCCAUUCUUUUGUUUGGAAAUGCAUUUACAACUGACCAGUCCCACAAGUCUAUGUUCAAACGAGGUGAAUUCAUCUCCUUGAUGGCGACUAACCAUUGAGUUUUCUCUUUACUUGCUAGAGUAGGCAGUAAGCUCUGGAUAUCCAUACCUUUUUCAAAGCUUUGAUUAUUCUCCUUGUUCUAAGACUGCCAAUACUAUAAUUAUGAUUAGCACCUCUGUCCUCAUCGUGUCUUACCCUUCUUCUACAAGAUCAUCUAUUUCAUCAUUCAGUAGAAAGUCAAAUGCUAUGUCUAUCUCUACCCCAAUCUCACAUUUUUUAAACUUUUGACUUGUAAGUCAUUUUAGUUUCAUUACAAUAUCCUGACAAAUGACGAUACAAUUCUUGAAUCCUGGCUCAAGACACCAUAAUGCACAUCUAUACGCAUUCUCUAUAUCAUAGAAACAUGCAUUUAACAACACAUGUGAAAGCUUCUAGCUUCGCUUGCCAUAUGUGCGUAUAGGCUACAAAGCCAAAUAUUCUCAUAUUAUCAUGCUUGGGGCAGUGCUUUGAUUAGAUUUCCUCAAGAGUUUUCAUAUCAAGCGUUGUUGAGGGACACGUUAAUCAGAUAGGUAUUAGUAGUGACAACUUAAGUCUACAACACCUUUGGAACUCUAGUUGGGUUCUCCACCAUGCUCUUCCAAAGUUUUCAAAUGUUUCAUCUUUAGCCUUAUGAGGGUAGACCCACCUUGAUAGAUUGUUUGAACCUAGUAGACCGUUUGGAUGAGUCUGUUUGCGUCUGGUGAAACAACUCUUGUUGAAGAGGGUUAUGAAUUAUUAGAGGACUUUGUAGUCUCGUUGAUGUUGUUGACUAUAAGUCCUUUUUUUUCAAAUUUUGUGGUGUUUUGAUUUGAUUUAUUGUUAUUUGAAUUUAUAGACAUGAUAUUAUUAUUAAUUAUGGUUGUCUUUCAUUAUCUUUGCAUUACAAUUAUAUUUCUGCUUAUUUUCUUUUAAAAUUAUCGAUAUGUAUCUAUUGUAUUAAUUUUUUUGUCUGCGAUCUGCCAUAACCCAUUAUGGCUUCCGUGUACAUAUUCAUAAAGGAUUUUUGGGGUCUCUAUUUGGUAACGCUGAUGAAGUUUAUGUUGACUGCAAUUGCAUAGAUGUAUGGAAUUUGUGCAAAAAAUUUCAAAUUGAUUAGAGGGAAUUUCUUUAUCUAUAAUGGUUAAUCUUAAUGUCAUUGGUAGAGAGAAACAAAGAAGCUGUUUUAGAAUAUUAGAGUCAAUUCGUAGUAAUAGAGGAGAAAUUUAUAGUUUAAUUCCAAUCUUCAGAUAAGGUUCUUUUCUUGUCUUAUCAGAAGAUGAGAUUAUAGCUAUUAGGUUCCUUUUUAUAUUUGUUCUUCUGCUCGAUAUGGCAAUGAUCAUGGUGUUAGAUUUCACCAUCAUUGAGAUAAUUGCAAGAGAACUAAAUUUAGUCAUGAAAGUGGUUUAGCUUUCUUCAGACAAAAUUGGGUUUGAAGCGUUCCACUGUUAUAGUUGUGAUGAAUUAUGAUAUCCUGCACUAAUAUAAAUUAAUCUAGUAGUUUUUGAAGCAUUAAGGAUUGAUGUUUUACAUUUUAGCAUCAUUACUCAUCAUUGCACUCUAUGUGAAGCGCAUGGGUCCUAAUUAUCUGCUGCUUUACAUUUCCAGAGUAUUGUUGCAUGUCUUGGUGAAAUAUUUACUAAAGUGAAACACUUUGUAUCAUUGAAUAUUGCAGUGUCGGCUAUUACUGACGCAAAUUGGGAAAAACUCGUGCUUGAAACCGAGUCUACUGUACUGGUUGAAUUCUGGGCUCCAUGGUGUGGUCCCUGCCGAAUGAUCCAUCCGAUAAUUGAUGAACUUGCCAAGGAAUAUUCUGGUAGGCUGAAGUGUUACAAACUCAAUACUGAUGAGAGCCCUUCAACUGCUAGCCGUUAUGGAAUUCGAAGUAUUCCCACUGUCAUUAUUUUCAAGAAUGGUGAGAAGAAAGAUACAGUUAUCGGAGCUGUGCCCAAGACAACAUUGACCUCAAGCAUAGAAAAAUUGCUGUGAGCAAAUGAAAAGCUAUUUUUCUCGUUAGCUUCCUCUCAUCUAAGCCAAAUAUAUCAGGUUGGGAUUAUUUGUUUCUUAAAUAACCAUUUAUGGUCCUGUAUAGUUAUGGAUGCAAACCAUAUUUU